rnacentral:lncRNA from 1 species
AGGUCUUGCCUUGAGGAAUCAUCGUGAGACGUCUACAUUUUGCUUGUAUACACUUGAACAUUUCCCAACAUCUGGAAUGAGCAUCUAAACAUUUAAUGCACAUGACAGAUUGAUGUAGUCUAUUAGCUACUUCUAUCAUGCUUACGGGUAAGUUCAAUUGGACUUGUGGGUGCAAUGCAAGAUAACUAAGUUUCAACGAAGUCUCAUCUGUUCCUACCAUUGUUAUCUUGCAUUCCGAGUUUGUCUAACUUUACAAUCAAUUCUGACUUUCUGUUAACGAUAGGAUGCGACGUGAGUGGGAUCUUACCAGGAUCUCAACACUGUCCUCAUCCGGGCAUGUCGGUCUCAAAGGGAUUCCAAGCUUAUCCCCUGCUACUUAAAGCGACCUUACAUUGUUGGUAGCAUUAACUCAACUCUUGUCUGGUCUGACACUUUUCAGCUUAGGUUGAGCAUUUAUGGUACAUGAUUUCCAAGGAGAAUAAUCAACUCUUAAAUAGUUUAGAAUGUUUACAAACUUGCACUGGUUUUAAUUUUUAAAAAAACUUCGUACGAAUCACUCUUAGCUUGUCCGAUUGAAAAUUUUACAGUUGACUUUGGCAUUUGGAAGUGGAUCAACGUUCCCCAUUGUCUUCGGAAGAUGAAAUCCUAUAAAAAAGUGCUCGUGAGUGAAUUUUGUCGUGUUUCAGUUAUCGCCCUAAAUUGUUGGACAUUUUUUGUUCAACCAGAUGAUCAUAAUAUGAUACGUGCACUACAAUAUUUUGUUUUGUUGCAGUCGUUUGUACAUUGCUUGGUGCAGAACAUUAUGCUGGAUCAUGGAACUCAGUCGUUGAUUGCAAAGAAAUUUGAAAACUAAAAAUGAAGGGUGAUUGUUGAGUGAGACGGUGUGGGCCUCGACUGGCGAGUGAGGAUGGAGUCCGCAAAAUCCAAUUAGGGAGACCUAGCGGAACAGUCCGCCGCACUCACGAGCCGCUUUGCACACACUGUGAAGGGAGCACUUGCUGCCCAAUCUGCUGAGCAAAGAGUUCACAUGAUUCAAUCGUUCGUUGCAGUGCAAUAAUUCUAUUGCAAAGUACCUCCAAAGAUACGCAUCUUUUGAAAUCAAGGAGGAACCAAAGGGUGGUGGGGUUAGGGCUGUGAGCCUGUGGCCGUGCAGAUGAUGUUUUUGUUUAUUUUAUUCUGACUUACGCGGUGUGUGUUCGUACGGGUAUAAUGAAGACCUAUGCGGAUCUCGUAAGAGGGGAGUGACGGACGGAGUCUAGACGGGUGCGACAGCUGGACCCAAGCGACGGAUCCGUAGGCACAGAGGAGGCAUUAUCAAGCGUCCUCACACAUCAUCCAAGCUCUAAUGGGUCGCUCCACUCAAUCAAGGCGCAACCUGGUGAGGAUCUACAUGAGGGGUACUUCCGCAGCUACGCAGGGUUCCUGCUGCGGGAGACCAACCGCGUCGUGCAAGUGGAUCAAGCCGUGGUUAAACAGGAAAUAGAUUUCCUCUCGAAUUUUGUUGCCAUUGCGUAUUUUGUGGGAGGUAAGUCCCCCGACUUCCAACUUCGAUAAUGGUUCACUGUUGCAAGUACAAGUUCAGGGCUCUUUGACUUUUGGCCGCAACUUGGGCAAAGACUUUUUCUGAGUUAAAACAAACAAUACAGAAACCUAGAGGAAUCUCUUAUUGGCGUGUCGACACAAGGGCUUUGUAUUUUCCAGAAAUGAGCCUCAGGCUUCGACCCCUUCUCGGAGCAUGGUUGCUCUGCUAUGGGGCAGGCUUCCGGUAUGAAAAUUCCCACGUGGGUUACAUUGAGACAAGUCGCAGAUGAAUUUCGAGGAAUUUCCCAGCAAAUCGCGGAAGGGAUAGGAGAGCUGCUGCCGGUGGAUAUAACGACGAAGGAUAUCGACGACCCCAGGUUCUGUUUAGCACUGAAUUCUAGACUGGGGUGGGAGCCCUCAGUCACACUGUACAAAAAGAAAAACUGAAACUAAUGUGACAAUUCUAAUAGAUUACAACUAUCUGCCCAUCCGAUGCCGUUACUGCCUCAACACCCAGCAUCGAGUCCGCGCCUGUCCCGCCCGUUUGGUGUCCAGAAAACUACGUUGGACCACCACGUGCUCACAGCUUCAACACACAAGCGGAAGGAAACCAGCCCGAGGGAGUGUAAAACCCUCAUCAGCACCAGCCUCGCAUAAUGUGCGUGAACUCCAGCCGGCCACCCCAAGCCUACCAGAUGAUGAUGGGUUUCAAGUUUACGUUCCAAAAUAUGGACGCAAAGGGUGCGCACGCCCUACCCAGAAGUCGAAUUGGGACAUAGGAUCCAUAGGGAACAUAUGUCACCCCCAGCUAGACUCGCCAACGCAGUUUCGCAGCCCUUCAACUCAGCAGUCCCCAACGAACCAGAAUGUUCAACUCCGAAAACCAUAGAUCAACGCUUUCAGCCUAAUAAAGCCACCACCCCUCGAGUACCUGUGGAGACCACCCCCGGCCUCAUGGAAAAUAUGCAGUGGUCCCCGUACUAGAUGUCGGGUCGGAAACGUACUUCCGAGCCCAUAUGCCUAGACUCCUCCUCAGCCUCGCACAAAUCAGCAGCCUCUACUGAACUCAUUGAUCCACGCCCAGGACCGGAGCGUCAGGAUCUGAACACACUACCUCCAAAAAUCGAUAACCAAAGCGAACAGGCUUCCGGCGAGUCAUGCUCCAUAGCUUGCACUCAUGAGCUCCAUCAAAAGGAAAGGCACCUACACCGCGGUCAGUCUGCUGCGGUCAAUCCUCCCGGACGACUGACCUGGGACCCUAUUCAGGUUCACUAGGCUCUCCAACCAGCGCUUUCAACCACCCCUCGAUCGUAACCGAGCAACUGGGCGGUCCCACAACAAGGCGAUACGUCCUGCUUAUCAAGCGACAAACAAGUCCUUGUCACAGCCCUAGAACAUGACUCACCCCUCAGGACCUUGGUGGAACGCGACCCAGAAGGGUGCUGGUGACCCUAAUCUGCCCCCCAACUAGCGGACAGCGGAGGAAGGCGUCGACUACAAGAACACUGCGCCAACGCUGCACCUUAUGCGAAUGGAGUCUUUUGCUCCAGAAGGGAGAUAGACUUUAGACGACCGUGCAACAGGGAUGGGUCGAGGCCCGUCAUCCAGAUCUGCAUCUCGCCCCAGCCCGCACUAGCCCUCACCCAAUUCCUUCCUUGGUCAUGAAAUUAUGCCUCAUUUCACAUAACGCCCAAGGGUUUAACAACGCGGUCGCUACGCAGAAAGUUUGCAACUCCUUCUAGAAUCACUUUCGACAUAUGGAGGUCCUAUGCCUACAAGAACACAAACUUCGUGGGCGCAAGUUAUCUGAACUCGGCCCCAAAAUCUGGAGACACACCACAUUCUUCAGCUGUGAAGCGUCCCCCGGCUACAACCAAGUAGACGGACAGGAUGGCACGGGUGGAGGGAGGAUCUGUAUGUUCAUCUCCCCCCGAAUUCACCACCUGAUUGUUAGCCAUCGGAUAGUGGGUGCCAACAUGGCCCAGUGGGUGAUCUUUCGCGGCUAUCAAGGUGGGGAUGUGGCGGUCCUCAACGUGUACACACCCCAUACAUCGCAAGAGCAAAUCCUCCCAUGGCAGGAAUUGCUCCGACUUCAAGGGUGCUACUGGGUGGUAUGCAGUGAUAGGAUCAUGGUGGAGGCUGCUAGAAUCAAGUCUUCCACAUGUGAUAAAUUGUUAUCCGGCAGAGAAAAAGAAGAAUUUCAUCUGCUUAAGUCACAUCUAUAGAUUUCAGACUCUUUUGACUACACCGGCCUCCUUUUUUCACCUGGGACAACCGGCGCAGCGACGGUUUGAAGAUCAUUGCCCGUCUAGAUAGUGUGUAUUUAUUCAUGAACACAUAAGGGACCCCAGGCCAUAUGGUGUCUAAGUACAAGAUACUAGCGACUCCAACCUCUCGGACCACCUGCCCGUGAAAUUCACCAUUGAACUUCCAGUGGACCGCGAGACAGGAAGCCGCUACAAAAUGAGCAGCAAGUACUUGGAUGAUCCACGCAUCCACUGGUCGACUUUGACAAUAUGUAGGAUAAUUACAAAAUCUUAUGUACUAGAAAAGGAUUCCGAGUAGACUGGGUACAAGUUAGCCCGGCCAGGUAGUGGCAACUCUAAAGCACUAUGAUAGGUUCUUAGUUUCCUUCCACUUUGUCGUUAAGGAUAUGAGCCGCCUGUAUUUUACUCUUUAAUGCAAUUGAACAAAGUUCGAUUUGUGCCAAAAAAUAAAAUAAAAAUAAAAAUGAAGAUUAUUUAUGUUAUAAUACAGUAAGACAUUGUAAUGGAUAUAUAAGUAAUGAAAACUUUAAAAGUGUUCAAUUUACAUCACAGAAUGCAUACUUUUGGUAAGCUAUUUAGAUUGAUAAUUAACAUCUAAAUGAUGGAGAUUUUAUUGUCAGCUGUUUGUUUUCUUACACAAUUUUAAACAUGUAAUUAUAAUAAAUAUGGAAUGAAAAAAAAACACAGUUGUUGCUGCAUCCAUUUUGUAUUGCUCUGCAUUGCCAUUAAAACAUAAAAUUGAUUCAAAACAUUAUAUUGUAAGCAGUUAUUGAUAUAUUGAGACUAAACCAAAGAAAAUUCAUUUAAAGGCAAGAAAUCAUAACAAUUUAAUUUCUUCCUUGAGUUAAGUGGGACAUUUUUGCAAUAUAGAUUGAUAAUUUAAAGGAUUAUUAAUGUUGACGGAAUUAGGUGAGAGGCCUUAACUUUUUAAUGUUUUGAUUGGUAAAAAUUAAGAAGUCUUUUUAAUAAAGCUUAUAUACAACUGAUAUAAUUCUAUAAGGUUUAUACAUAGCUAAAUAUAUCUACAUGAAUACUAUCAUCAUUCAAUAUUAUAACUUACAAUGAAAGAUUGUAACUUUGAAUAUUAGUACUUGCAAAGAAAUUGGUCUAUAUUUUUACAUCAAUUCUUGUACUAUUUUUUAUGUAGUAUGCUAUAUUAUCUUUAAAUGCCAAUAUGAUUACCUCUAAUUGAUUAGAAAUGCAUAAAAAAAAUCAGAUAUUUAUCAAAUUAUAAGGUUGUAGAAGUGUCGUUAUAAUAAAUAGAAACCAUAGAAAUAUAUAAUUUUUUAAUAUAAAAUAACCAUGUCAAAAUUGCAUUAGACAUUACUAAGUAUCAAAUUAUGACAAGUUAGUUAAUAGAAUCUAAAUUUUAAAUAUAAGAAAAUUUUAAAACUUUUAGUUUUGAAUAUAUAUAUUAAAAUUAUAUAAAAUGAAAGUUUAGUUUUAAUAAAAAAAUAAUUAAAUAUAUAAUAAAAAUAUUUUGUGGUGGUAUUUGGUUGAUGUUAGAUUGUAGUGAUAUUAUUAUUAUUAUAAAAAAAAGAAGACAAACUUCAAUAAAAAACUAAUUAUUUAUAAUGCUAUAUAGUAUUAUAAGAAUAUUACUAUUCAUGAAGCACUUAUAAAAAUAUUUGAUUUUGGAGCAAGAAUUGUUGCAUUGUUUAAAAGUUAGAUUAUAAUUAAUUUAUUUUAAUAGAGAAUUAAUCAAUAAGUUAGCCAUUUGUAAUAAUUUGAUGCUAAAUUAUAAAUAAUAUAAAAAUAGCAGUAAUUAAUUUUAUAUUUUUUCUAUUAUUAAUAUUAUAUACAUUAUGUUGAUAUAGAGACUUAUAAAAAUUCCUAAGUGUUAUCAUUGCAACAAAUAAUUUUAUACUACAAUUACCAUUAUUGUCUACAAUUACAUUGAAUAGAUUUUAUUUAUGCAUGUAGGUUUUUUAGCUUCAAUACAUAAUAUUAAAGUAUUUUUGAACUCUAAACUUUUAUUUAAUUAUUCAAAAUACUUUAUUAGUAUUAUAGUUUUACUAAAAAUUAGUAGUUUAUAUAGUCUUAAAUUACUGUUAAACUAUACAUGCAUUCAAAACCUUUAGGUAUAGAUAAUAUUAUUUUUGGUAUACAUCUAUUGAAUAUAUUAGAAUUGAUAUUUUAAAAAUAUUAAUGUAAUUAACAUUUUUUUUUUUUUUUUUUUUUUUUUUUUAAAGUUUGAAGGUUCAAUCAAAAUAUGUAAAAGAUAAUAUGUAUGUUAGAUAUGAAAAGAAAAUAAUUUAUAUUUUGCACAAAAUACUACUACGUGAUUGUGAUAAUAAAUCAUAGAAUGAUAAAAAUAAUGUCAUUACUAAUGCAUGUAACAAAUGCAACUUAGAUAUAGUAUAAAUAAUGUAUUACAACAAGUUUAUAAGGCAACAAAGCAUAAUUAUUUUAAAUAUAUGAAAUUAAAUUUAUAAUCUUGAAUCUAAGAAUUGAUUAUUAUUUUAAACUUCUAUUUUAUAGAAUAUACAUAUUUUAUAUUUCAACAAAAGAAUAGAGUAUAAUUUUAUAUUUAAUGGAUAUUAAACUAUUGUAUAAUCUCCAAAAACGAAAUAUAAUUUUGUCCAAAGUACUAUGGUGAGUAGGAACAAAACCAAAAUUCUUUCAUUAAAUAUUACUAUUACAAUGAUCUUUUCUUAUAUUCAAUAAAACAUAUCUUAUAAUAUUUGUUUAUGCCUUCUUGCUCUAAUUAACUUCUUGUACAAAACUCUUCAAUCCCAUUCUAUCCAACAAUACUUCUUCCUCAUCACUCCAUUGGUAUUGUUUGAUAAUACCAAAUUGAAAUUCCAUAGCUCUUUCCUUUUUUACAAUCUAUUUAUUUCUACAUUUAGGCAUUGUCUUAAAAAAGAAAAAAAAUCAAAAGAUUAUAUAUUUAAUUGUAACUGAUUUGGUUAUAACCAUUAUAAUCAUUAUGGUUGUAAUUGUUUUAGUUACAACCAUUAUCUUUCUAUCUACUUUAGUAAACUCUCUUGUUACUAUUUUUGGUAAUUUUACAAAAUCAUGAUGAAAUAACUUAAUACUUGCUACCUUCAAUCUUUUGAUUAAUUUUUUUGAUGGACAAAUAUAUUUGAGUUGUCUUAUAUUUGUAUUGAGGUAAUAAAAAUUUUAUAUUCUUUUGCUUUUAUUAUAUUUUCUUCAGCUUUUGCUCUUUGUAAAUCCAUUUUACAAACUCAAUGAAUUCUAUUUGUUAUUAUAGUUUGCAUAUUAAAAACUCAAGUCUCAUUUUUAAUUCCAUUUAUAUAUUAAAUAAGUAAAAGCACUUCAGUUCUAUAAACUAAAGAAAAAGGUAUAUGUUUUUUUGAGACUUUGUAUGCAAUAUGAUAUACCCAAAGUGUCAAAAAACAUUUAGUAUCUCAAUUUCUUUGAUUUGUAUUAAUUAUUUUAGUUAACAUAGCUUUAAGGAUUAUAUUAGUUGUUUCACCUUAUCUAUUUUCUUGAAGAUAAUAAAUGGUGGACAUCCAAUGUUUAUUUUAUAUAUAUAUAUAUAUUGUUAAUAAUUGAAUUGUUUCAUUAGUAAAAUAUACUCCUUGAUCACAUAUCAAUGGAACAACCAUAAUAAGUAAUAAUUUCUUCAUAUAUGUUUUUUUCUAUUAAUUUAGUAAUAUUAUCCUUAUAUGAUCUUGCUUCCAUCUACUUAGUUGUAUAAUCAAUUAUAAUUAUAAUAUAUUGAUUCCUUAUAAAACUAGUUGGUGGAUCUAUUGGUCCUAUAAAAUCAAUUUUCCACCUUUGAAACACUUCUAGUGGUAAUAUAGGAUGUAAAGGAUUUUUGUGUUUAUUUGGCUUAGUCAUUAUUCAUUGGAAAAUAUUACAUUUUUUGCAAUAAUCAUAUAUAUAUAUAUAUAUAUAUAUACAUAUAUAUAUCAUCUCAACAUUGGCUAUUAAAAUAAAGCAUUAAGAAUUUUGUGUAAAAUAAUUGUUGUCAAAAAACAAUCUCCAGUAAGUCCUUCAUGUGCUUUAAUAAUAAUAGAUUUUGUGAUAGGCUUUGCUAAAUUUUUUUUUCUAUUCUAUCUGAAAAAGUUUUUAUUAAUUAAUUUAUUUUGUCGAGAUAAAAGUAUUGACUUCAUAUGACAACUUGUUGUCUAAUAUUAAUUGAAGCAGUUGUUAUAAGUCAUCAAUUCUUCAAUAAGUCAAUAUUAGGUAUUCUUCUAUCCAUAAAACAUAAUAGAUGGUGGUCUUUUUCCAGAUUAAUUUAAACCAUAAAUAUAUUUGUGUCUAAAAAAGUAUCUACUACAUCUGUGGAUGCUUCUCUGAUAGUUAUUUUGGAUAAGUGAUUUGCCAUGACAUGUUGAUGUCUUGGCUUGUAAACAAUUUCGAAAUCAUAUUCUUAUAACAAUAACAUCCAUCUUACUACUCAUCCUGAAACUAUUGGUCUAUUAAUUGAAUAAAAUAAUACUUUAUAAUCAACAUAAAAUAUAAAAUGAUUUUCCAGAAAAUAAUGAAAGAAAUUUAAAUUAAAUAAACCAUUGACAUUUUUUAUUUUUUAUUUUUUUUUUCUUCUUCCUAUGGUACUAUAAUUUCUUUUAACUUGAUUUAGUAAUAGACUUGCAUAAUAAAUUGGUUAGUCUAACUAUCUUGUAUUAUUUUGAACCAAAAUACAACCAGUUGCUUCAUUUGAAGCAUCACAAUGUACAUGAUUUUUUUUUAUCUUAAUGUUGUCAAUGUUAUCUACAUGAUUAAAAUUAGAGAAAUUAUUAAUUUUCUUUUUAAAACUUCAAAAGCUUGUUGACAUUCUAUGGUCAAUAUAUACUUUAUAUUGGAUUUUGUUAAGUUUGUCAAUAGUUGUGAUGUAUUGGCAAAAUUAUUUACAAAUCUUUGGUGAUAAAUAGUAGAAUCUAUAAAUUCUCACAUUUUUUUAAGAUUCUUUAGUGGUUGUAAAGCAAUGAUAGCUUGCAUCUUGGCUGGAUCCAUUAAUAGUCCUUCUUUACAAAUAAUAUGAUCCAAUAAUGUACCUGAAGUAAUUGUAAAGGUACAUUUUUUUGAGUUAAGGCUAAUUCCAUAUUCUCAACACCUUCAAAGGCACUUUUGUAAAUGUACCAAAUGUUUGACUUGAGUUCCACACAAGCUAAAAUCACCAAAUAAAACUUACUUGAAAUCGUUCAAAUACCAUACAAAGGUAUGCAUAACUGUUCUUUGAAAUGUAGCGGGUAUAUUUUUCAAACCAAAAGGCAUUACUCAAUAAGUAAAUGGUCUCCACUCUAUAAUUAAACAAGUUUUAAGCUGAUCUUUUAGAGCCAUUGAUAAUUAAUUAUAACCAUUGAAUCCAUCUAACAUAGAAUAUAAUUCAUGACUGGCCACUAUUUUAAGUAUUGCAUCAGUAAAAAAUAAUAGAAAAAGCUUUGUUUUUGUGACUCCAUUAAGUUUUUUAUAAUUAAUACAAAUUCAAAGUUUGCUAUUAUUUUUAGGAAUAAUAAAUAUAAAAGAUAACCAUUUUUUUUGAUCUACAGGAUAAAUAAAUCCUGUCUUGAAUAAUUUAUCAUUUUAAAAAAAAACUUUAGCACCAUAUAUUAGAUUCAUUUGAUAUCUUUAUCAUUUAAUUGAUUGAGCAUUUUAGUCAAAUUCAAUUAUAUGUUCACAAAUAUGAGCAAGAAUUCCUUUUAAAUCUUCAUAAUUCCAUAUAAAACUAUAUCUGUAUAUUUUUUAUAAUCUUAUCAAUUCUUCCUUACAACCCUCAUCAUUUUGUUUUCCUAUUUUCAUUGUUUUUGGUUGAGCUUCAGUCUCUAAAUUCUCUUCAUAUAUUUGGUCUUUUUCAUUGAUUGUCCAACUUGUGAUAGAUUUCUCAUUAAUUCCUAAUGUAGCUAGAGUUGUAUCAAAUUCUUUGGCUUCCAUCCUUGAUUUAUAGAAAUGAUCAAGUUAUUUUAUUAAUUUUGCGACUGAUUCAAUUGAAAUAUAAGGUUUUUUUUUUUUUUUUUUUUUUUUUAAGAUUUUGUAUCAUUUUUUGAUAUUAUUUCUAUUAUAUUACAAUCAUAACUAAACCUUUUUUUUAACCUCAAUAAUUCAAUGUUAGCUAUAGGAUGUAAUGAAGGUAUAGCUUAAUAAAUAAUUUGUUCUUCUUUAUCAAUUAAACCUCUUUCAAUCAUAAUAUUCUAAGUGUGUAAGGCAUUUUUGAUGGUGAAAGUCCUAAAAAAUUUAAGGUACUUAUUUUCUUUUCUUUGUUUUUACAAAAAAUGGUUAGAAUAUUCCUAGCUCAAUCUUGUUUAGUUUUUGCUUGUUUAAGUCAUGGUCAACCAAAUAACAUAGAAUAGUUUAUUUUAUUUAUUUAAUUAAUUUAUUUUUAAUUUCUAAAACUAUUAUUGUAAUAUUACAAAUAAAUUAUCCUACUUAUAUUUAUAAAUCUUUGAUAAUUCCUAUUGGAUUCAUUUUUUGUCCAUUAAACAUUUUUAUUAUAAAAGUUGCUAGUUCAAGCCUAUUAUAAUCCAGAUUUUUGUAUAAUUCACUUGUGAUAAUAUUUAAUUUCAAACCUCUAUCUAAUAAUACAUCUUAUAUAAUUUGAUGUUUAAUUUUAAUAAUUAUUAUAGGCAUUUUUGUAUCAUAAUUUUGACUUACAACAUAAUCUUCUGAUACAUUUGAUUUAAAAUUACUCUUAAAAAGAAAUGCUUCUAUAAUCUACUUCUUGCAAUAUGGAAUUAAUUCCAAUAAUUAUCUUAUUGAUAUAUUUUCUAUUGUCUAUUGAAAUAUAUUUUUAAUUAUUUUUUUGAUUUUUUAAUUUUUUGAUUUUGAUUUUGAUUUUUUUUGUUUCCCCUCUUCUUUUAAUAUUCUUACUUGCAAAUCUUUCUUCAAUAUUUUUAGGUAAAUCUCCUUUUAAAAUUGGAAUUUCUCUAAAAUCCUUUUAUAAUUAUUAUACUUCUUUAGUUUCAUUUUUUUGUAUUCUUCUUUCACUAGCCCAUUCUUGAGAUGCUUUUUCUUAUAAUUUAUCUAAGUUUAUAAACACAAGUUGGUUCCUACUUUCAUCUUCUUCAUCUUUGUUACUACAAAUAUUACUUGUUGUUUCAUUCUUAGUUUUUUUUGUUUUUUUGUUUUUUUUUUUUUUGAGCUCAAGUCAUUACUCAAACUUUUGGAAUUAUUACAUUUGUAGCUAUAACAGGUUGUCCAUGUAUUUAUGCCUCUCUAAUUUCUAUUUGGUAUUUCAGCCAUAGUAUAUAAUCCACUUUUAUAUAUCCAUUUUGAUGGGAACAAUAGUACUCAAGAUUAUUCUCUUAUGCUUGAUUUACAUAAUCUUUUCUUAGUGAAUUUGCAUUCUUUUUUCAUUCAUAUCUUUCUUCAUAUCUUGGUUGUAAUCUAUCUUCAUAAUAGUGGGAUCUAUAUUCUUCUUUAUAAAGAUAUCUUUCUUCCACUCUAUAAGUGUUAUUUCUCAUAGUAUCUUCUCUCUUAUAAUAUUGUUGAUUUGAAGGUCCCUGACUUCUAUCUUGGUUUAUGGAUAAAUUUCUUUUCGUAGAUUUUUUUCUUUUUAUAUUAUUUAAUUGUAAUUAUACUUGAUGAAUUGCUAAACUUCUAUCUUUAUAAUAUUGAUUAUAAGUACAAUCAUUAGUGUGUGUGUAUUGUAAUUUAUAUAAAAUUUCAUAUGACACUCAUAAGAAAAUAUCCUUCAUUAUUGUACUUUCUACAAACAAUAUCUAUUCAAAAUUGCUUUGAUCUAAUGCUUAAUUGAGCCAUUUUUUUUUUUUUAAUUUCCUUAUAUUUUUUUAGUAGUUUUUUUUUCUUUCUUCUACUUUUGUUUUGUUUUGUUUUGUUUUAUUUUUUGUUUUGUUUUUUGUUUUGUUUUGUUUUUUUUGUUUAUUUAUUUAUUUUUUUUGUUUUUUUUUUCAUUUAAACCUUCACUUGAAUCUUCAAAUUCUAUAUCAUAAGAUCUUUUCUUUCUAUGUAUACUUAAUUCAACUUUUCUUGCUGAUUGUAGAGCUUUUUCUAAUGUAUUUAUUGAUAAUAAAGCUACAUAUUUGUCUACUUUUCUUUUUAAUCCAUUUAAAAUCUAUGUUUUCUUAAAUAGGUCAUAGAAUUGAGGAAAAAGUUUAUUAACUAUCCAUAUUAUUCUUUUAAAGAAUUCUUCCACAUUCUCACUUUUUUUUUUUUUGCUUGAGAUGUAAAAGGCUAUUAGUGACUUCUUUAUUAUUCUUAUUUUUUCUAAAAUAAAUAGUGAAUGCAUUUUAAAGAUCUUUCUAAGAAAUAAAAUAUUCUAAAAAAUAUCAAUUAUAUGAUUUAAAUGUCUUUUUUUAAGUGUUACUAAAAAAAGUAAUAAUUUGACUUUAUUUACUAUUUCUAUAUUACCUUGAAAAACAUGAUUAAAUUCUCCAAUGUAAAUGUCUAUCUCUUUUGCCUUUAAAUUUGGACAAUCUAGCUUUGAUAUAUCUAAUUAAUUGUAUCUCUAGAAAUAGCAAGAUAUCUCCAAUAUGGUCUCCAAAUAAACAUCUAGAUUCUUGUACCUCAAGAAUUUCAAGUAUUCCUUCUGUAUUCCUAUAUAGGAUCUAUCCAUGUACUUGUCUUUUGCAGCUCUUGGUUUUGUUAAAAUCAUGGUCAAAAAAUUCAAAUUAAAAAUUAUCUUCAAUUUAUAUGUUAAUUGUAUUUGCUAGUUUUAUCUGAUCUUCUUCAAUCUACUCUUUAAAUAUUCAAAUCUUCAUGGAGUCAAUCAUGUCCUCAUUUUUUUUAAUCUAGUUCUUCAACUAUCUAUUUUUUUUCUUGCCUUUGUCUUCUUCAAUCUACACUUUACCUAUCUAUAUCUUCAUUUCAUCUUGUCUUUGUCUUCUUCAAUCUACACUUCACCUAUCUAUAUCUUCAUUUCAUCUUGUCUUUGUCUUCUUCAAUAUAAUCUUUAAACAUCCAUAAUUCUAUUUUAUCUUACAACUCUUUUAACUUAAUACUAGAUCAAAAGUAUAUAUAAUCAUAUGCAAGCAUGCCAAUUAUAUCUUCUUUUAUUGUGAUAAUAAUAAUAUAGUUUUGAAAUUAUUUAUAGCUAUUUUAUAGUAAAUUUCUUUUAAUAUUAAUUAAACAUAGUAAAACUAAUUUAUUCUAAUUACUAUAACUUUCAAUGGUGGUUUUAACCACCUUGUCUUUUAAACACAUGGGCGGCUAAUUCCUUUGCCUUUUUUCACUCUCAUAUCUUUUCUAAUCUUAGUUAUACUUGUUUCUAUAAGUUGAUUUUUUAUACCAAAUUUAAUUCUUUAUUUAAUUUUUUUAUAUUAGUCUAUUUUUUCUAUUUUUUUAUAAUAUUUUUUUAAUAAAAUAAUAUAUUUAUUUUAUUAAAUAUAAUUUUUAAGGUUAAUACAUUUAUUAAAAAAUAAAAAUAUCUUUAGUCAGAAAAAAUGAACCUAUACAUGUAGAAGUCAUAGAUAGUUGUUUGUUAUCUUUUAGAGACAUAAUCCAUGAAACAAUUCCUUUAGAUAUAGCAACUAAAGAUCAUAAUAACUUAGUAAUAUUCAAUGUCAUUAGAUUCUCAUUCAAUCUAGUUAUUUUAGGAUUACCAUUGUUGUAUUAAAAAAUAGUAUAAUAUAUAAAAAUAAUAUAAAAUAUUAUAAAAAUUUGGAUUAUAAUUAUAAAUAAAAUAAAAUAAAAUAAAAUGAAUACUUAUCUAAUUUGUUUAAGUUUUGUAAUUAAAGAUAGAAAUUGUAGGAUUUAUUAAUAAAGAAUUUAGAAAGGCCUUGGUAUCAAAAGUGUAAUUUUUUGACUUUUAGGCCAUUCUAUGUGGGUGGAUUAGGUUAGUAAUAGUAGACUUUAUUUCUAUUGAUUGAAAGUCAUUUCCAAUAGGCUUCGAGAUUUUGUUUGGGACCACACUAGAAUUAAGAACCUCUUUAGGGCGACCUAUUCAAAGCAAGAUAGACCUUUCAAGGCAAACCAAUUCAUUCAAAUUUUAGAGAUUGGAUUCAAGAAGCUUGUAUUUUGGGCUAUAAUUUGGAUAAAAGAAAUAUAAAAUUUGAGAUUUUAAUAAUAGAGAUAUGAUUUUUUGAAAUUAAAGUAUAAAUUUGGUACCUAUUUUUAUUCUUUUAAGCAUAUAAAAAGUUGUAGGAUAGUAUUUAAUAAUCAAAAAGUGAAAUUUAAAAGUUUAAUUAAAAAAAUAAAUUUUAUAUAAAAAAAUUAAGAUAUUCCAAUCUACAACAAGCAAAAAAGAGCUAUUGGAAAUUAGUGUUCAAAAUUGGAAUUUGUAAGUGAAUUUUUUUCAAUGGAGGUUUUGGUUUAAGCCAUACCUUGAAUUUUUGGAUGAAUUUUUGGCUCAAAAUUUCCAUAAGUAUAGAUGAUUAUGUUAAAAAAUAUCACAUAAAAAAUUCAUGGUAUUUGAACAUUGGAUUUUUUUAAUAAUUUUAGUACAUGGAUGUCUAAAAAUUGACAUAUUUAAUACUUGCUAGAGAGUAGGAAAUAUUCAAAGAUUUUUAAUGAAUUUAUAAUUUUUUUUUUGUGUGAAAGUAGUUAAAAAUAUAAAUUAGAUAAUAGAGAAUUUUGAAUCAAAUUGGACUAUUAGAUUAGACGUUAUUGAAUGAUACAUAUAUAAAAAGAAACUUCCAUAGAACUAGAAGUGAUUUUAGGAUAUGUAGUCACAUCUUGGAUAUUCUUGUGCAUCCUUGACUUUUAUAUUUGAUGUAAUUAUCUUUUGAAAGAAAAAUUAUAAAUGAUAUUUGUAUUUUAUAAACUUGCAACUUAUUUGAGUGAUUAAUGGCAGCCAAAGGUCCAACCUUUUUCGGGAGCAAACUCUCUUACAUGCAACAUUUGAUACUUUCAUUGAGAAAGACUUAAAGCACUAAUUUCUCAACAAGUUAAGAUAGAGGAUAUAAAGCAAAGAUGUUCAAAUAAUGAAGGUAGUCAAAAUCUUAUAAAUGACUUUAAGGGCCAUGAAAAUAUUCAUAGAGCAACAAGUUACUAAUGCAACUUUGCAACGAGCCACCAAAAUAUUGAGAGAUAUUAUUUGUGAGGUAAGGAGGUUUAAUGGAAAGAAUAUUAUUAAAUUUUUGAAGGUCUAUAUGUAUAAAAUAGAAAUCUAUCAAGUUCAAAAUAAUAAGAUGAUUAAGAUCUUUGAUUUAAUAGUUAUCAUAGAAGUCAAAAAAAGGGUAAAAUAACUACAUAGGAGCAUAGAUGUGAAUAUAUGGGCUAAAUUUGAGGAGAGAUUGAAAGAUGAAUACUUUAAUGAAGAUAUUGAAAGGAUGACUAAGAGAGAUUUUUUUAUUAGAAAGAAUAGCAAUCAAGCAAAUAUAUGAGACCAAAUGAACUAUUAAAGAAGUUUGAGAUAAAAAUUGAACAACUUUCAUUAUUUGAGAAGCGCCUUCUAGAAGUGAAGAAAUCAAAGUUAUUUUUGCAAGUUGCAGAUGAGUUACUAGAAGAUAGAUUGCUUCUUCUUCUUGAAGAUGGAAUAGCAAAAGAUGGUUUUACCACCAAUUGAAGAAGGUUGGAAGAGGUGAUGAGCCUCAUUGCUAAGAAACAGUAUGUAAAGUUUAGAAGAUUUGGAACAAAAAUAGAAACAACACCAGUGAUAGCUAUGAAGGCUCCAACAACAACUUUGUUGAUUUUUAUUCCAUCAAUCUCUUAAAAAAAUAAGAAUAUAGAUAAAGAAACUUUUGAGGAGUUGAUGAAGGACAUAAAAGAGUUAAAAGUAGAAAUAAAUAUUUUGAAGAAAGGCAUAAGGUCAAGCACUUCAAGUUUGACUGAAGGAUCAAAGGGAUUUGUAAUGAGAUACAUUUGGUAUAAUAAUUUAAACCACAAAUAUGGUGAUUGCAAAUUAUAACCAGAUGCCAUGAUGAAUGAUAUUAUUACCUUCAAAAAAGGCAAAAUUAGAGACGUUGUAAAGGAUGAACUUUUAGAAACUAACUUUAGAAGUAGAGGCAUGAAAAAAUUGAUGGAAGAUAGAUUGGAGAAGAAUAACUUCUCACAUGAUAAGAAAAUAAAGACUUAUGUCAUUGAAUUUGAAUAUAUUAAGCUAAGAACCUCUACACAUAUAUUUAAAGAAGUAAUGGUAAAAGAAGCAGAAGCUAUUAAAAGGCUAACUAAAUAGCAUGAUCUAAUUGAUUUUACUACCAUUAAGGCCUAUUUGGUGAGUAAGUUUAGAGAAAAAAAAGCCUAUGAUGCAUAAGUAGAAAUCAAGAGGGACAAAACUAAUAAAAAAGACAAGGUAGGAGAGCCAACUAACAAGAAGAAGGCCCUAAGUGGUAGAAACAUUAUUCCAGGAGAAAGACUAGUAGAUAAUAUAAGACAAAAGCAAGAAGCAAAGCCUUGAGCUUUAUAUUCAAGAGCUGAUAUUCUACUUCAAAGGCGAAGUGGCAAGAGAGGAUGGAUAACAGCAAGGACAAGGAUAAAGAAGACAAUAACAAAGGAAAGAAUAAGGUACCAACUUAUAAACUUCAAUCUAAUAUUAAACCCUUAGUUGACAUGAAGAACAUCUUAAAGAACAAGAUUUUGGAUGAGAAGAUUGUAUUUAUCUUGAGAAAAAUUCUUGAUAUUACAAAGAAAGAUUUUUAUGAGUUUAUCAUUAAUAUUAUCAAGAUAAAGAUGCAAAUAAUAGCUAAAAUAGUGAUGACAAGAGUACUAGAUACUUGAAUGACCAAGAAAGAAGAAAAAAAGAUUAGAGAAGUAUUUGCCUUGAUAUAUAAUGAUGUAAGCAAUAGUAACCAAAGCAAAAGAUAUAGAGUCAUUUAUGAUAAGACUAAGAAGUUGAAGUUAUAGAGAAAGUUUUAUAUGAUGAGAUAAAAGAUGAAGUGCUACAAAUAUUUUCAUGUGAUGGAGUGGCCAAUAUCAAGGUGGAAUCCAAUAUUAAGAAGAAUCAAGAAGAAGAAGUUAUAAUAGAAGCCAAAGUAUUUCAAUAUGAGGCUAAAAAAAUUUAGAGUAAAGGAAAAGCUUUGACAACUUAUACUCAUCUAUUUUGGAUAAGAACUACUACAAAGAUAUGCAUGAAGAUUGAAGGCCUUAAAGAGCCAACUUUAGCAUUCAUGGAUCAUAGCUCUGAGAUCAAUAUCUUAUUCAGAAAGUUUUAUGGAAAAGACAAGUGGCUAAUUGAUAGAUCUAUGGAUGGGUGUUCAGAGCUACUAAUGAUGAAAGAAGUAGCUUUUAUAGACCAUGUGUCACGGACACAAAAUACAGACUUGAAAUCUAACAAGAAGUUCAAGAAGAAGUGGCAGAACUAGAUUAAACAGAUGAGUACAAGAACAACACCAGAAAGGUGGGCUAGAACUCCAAGAGAUGUGUUGUCGAGACUGAAGAACCCUUCAGCCUCGACUCCUAUAUAUACUACUGAAUAGGAAGCUUCUCGAGCUACUUCCGCUAACUAGGACGCUUCUCCAACAACUUCUACUAAUUAGGAAACUUCUCAAGCAACUUCCUAGAAUCUAUCAAAAUAUUCUAGAACCUUCUAAGAAUAUUCUAGAACCUUCUAAGAGGAUCUUUAGGGAAUAUUCUAAUAAUAUUCUAAAGGAAUCUUUAGAGAAUCUUUAGAGAAUAUUCUAAAAGAAUAUUCGAAGAAUCUUCCAAUGUAUGUCCAUGACAUCACCUCCUCUUCUAACUUCGAGGUCUCCGAGAAGCAAUGUUGUUAUCAGUCAAUACCAACGCAAGAAAAUGAAAAUCUGUCGCAUCACAUCCACUAUGAAUUCCAAUUGUUGUUCGAGAGGCAAAUGAUUCAUCGGCCCUUGGAGCCAACGGUAGUGACCAACACCUUCAACCUCUGACCAAGCGUGGACUUCUGUGUCUUCAUUGUGAAACUGUCCUCCAAAUACACCUUCUGGCUGACCGUCGUAGGCAGGCUCGACCUCAAAUACAAUUACUAGCGAUCUGUUGCUUGGUAUCCUCCGACGUCGUCGUGGUGCAGGCGGUUCUUCAUCUCGCGGUCGUCUUCGUGAGCUAGUCGCUUGAAAUGACAUAACAAGUGUAGUAUCUUGACUAUCCAUGUCCAAAGGCUAAAAUGAUGAGAGCAAACUAUAGUUGCUAACAAAGUUCUACACUAGCGAACUAUGGGUUUUGGAGGUGCCCUCCUCCCUACUUGAUGAGCAAGCUUCAGCAAGAAGCUAUCGUUGAAUCGGCUUAGGUUUAUGAGGAUAUCGUUGAUGAAAUUCUUGUACCUUUUUUGGUGCAUUGGCAAGAUUUUCGGCACGCUCCCACGUUCGUUCAUUGAUGUCGUAUCCACUCCAAUGCACUAAAUACUCCAAUUUUCUCUUAUUACACCGUGAAUCUAGUACCUUUUCCACCUCGUAUUCCUCAUGGUUUUCAAUUUCGAUACUUGGUGGCGGACUUUGUACUCUUUGGGGAAAAGCUAACUCUCGAUAAGGUUCCAACAAAGACACAUGAAAGACUGGAUGUACCUUCAUAGUAGCUGGUAAUUCCAAACGAUAUGCCACCGGAUUGAUCUGCUUCUCGAUAACAAAUGGCCCUAAUCUCCGAUAGUCCAAUUUGUCACAUGGCCGCUUGGUCUUGAUAUUCCGUCGAAGAAGCCAUACUUUACUUCCAACUUUAAAAGUAGGCGCCUCAUUUCGAUAUUUAUCUGCAGAUGCCUUGUAACUCUCUUGGGCAGAUUGCAAUUGAAGCUUCAACGUCGCUUGAAGCUCCGAUAGUUGCUUCACAAAUCCUUCAGCUGCUGGGUUGUUAUUUGCUGAAGAACUCAAUAAAUCGAGCUUGGGGUGGUAUCCGUAGUUGGAGAAGAAUGGUGUUUGUUGAGUUGACGCAUGAAGAGUGUUGUUGUAUGCGAACUCAGCAAGCGGUAGAUAUGCAGUCCAAUCAUCUUGUUGAUAGUUGAUGCUGCAUCGUAAAUAUUGCUCCAAAACUUGAUUUAACCGGUCCGUUUGACCGUCAGUUUGAGGAUGAAAAGCCGAAGAGAGCUUAAUAUCCACCUUCAAUAUCUCAAAGAGGGACCUCCAAAACUUGGAUACAAACUGAGUACCUCGAUCCGACACGAUAUCAUCUGGUAGGCCAUGAUAACGAUAUAUGUUAUCAAGAAAGAGUCUUGCGGUGUCUUCACUUGACGAUGUUUUCUUGCAAGGCACGAAAUGCGCCAUCUUUGUAAAUCGAUCCACCACAACAAAGAUGCUGUCAAAUGAAUUCGAUGGCAGUAGGUCCGUAAUGAAGUCCAUAGAAACUGAAGACCAUGGUCAGUGCGGAAUAGGCAAUGGUUGGAGAAGUCCAUACGGACGAUGUCGAGGGAUCUUGGAUCUUGAACAAACAUCACAAGAAAGGACAAAUUCCUUCACAUCCUUCCACAUUUGGGACCACCAAAAAUCUCGUGAAAUGAGCUCCAAAGUCUUGUUGAAUCCAAAAUGUCCCGCAGCUGGAAAGUCGUGGCGAGAUUGAAGUACUCGGAGUCGAGUUGGUCCUUUCGGGAUAUACAACCGCUCUUCAAAAUACAGAAGAUCUCCCUCCACCUUAAACUUGUCAUUGUCGACACGUUGUUUGAUGUCAAGAGCAAUAGAAUCCUCAAUGGUCGCAGUACGUACCUCGCUGAGGAAGCCGUCAUCGAUAGUUGCAACAGUAGCAAAAAUCUUGAAUUUUUCUGGUUUCAAUAAUGUUGUACAUUGUUGAUCAAACGCUGCUUCUCCAGCCUUUGGCGCAAGAUACGAUCUCCUCGAUAAUGCGUCAGAUAAUCCUUGCUGUUUUCCAGGGCGGUAGGUGAUAAUAAAGUCAAAUCGUGAUAGAGACAUAUUCCAUCGAGCUUGACGACGAUUCAAAAUUCGAGCUGUCAUGAAGUACUCCAAAUUCUUGUGGUCCGUAUAAACAGUCACUGGAUGUGCAGCUCCUUCGAGGAAGUGACGCCACUCUUGGAAGGCAUCCACUAUAGCAAGCAGCUCUUUGUCGUGGAUCUCGUAGUUGAUCUCAGCAGCAGAGAACUUUCGUGAAUAGAACGCAACUGGGUGAAGCUUUUUGUCUAUGCCCAUCUGUGAAAGCACAGCUCCCAAAGCAAAAUCUGAAGCAUCGGUCUCUAAAUAGAAAGCCUUUGCAAAGUCAGGGUGUACCAAGAUUGGAGCCGUAGUGAAUGCCGUCUUGAGAUCUUGAAAUGCUUUUGCUGCUUGUGAUCCCCAUUCGAGCUUGUCUUUGCUUAUUAGACGCGUGAGUGGUGCAGCAACUUGAGAAUAAUUCUUGAUGAAGAUCCGAUAGAAGUUAGCAAAUCCAAGAAAACACUGAACAUCUCUAACCGUCUUCGGAACUUCCCAAGAUAUAAUUGCUUCUACCUUUUUUGGAUCCAUCUUCAAGCCCUCUGUAGUCGCAAUGAAGCCCAAAAAUUCCAUCUCAUUCUGGUGAAAUUGACACUUCUCCAACUUGGCGUAGAGUCCUCGUUCGCGUAGUUUUUCAAGAACCAAACAAACGUGCUUCUCAUGUUCUUCUUCAUUCUUGGAAAAUAUCAAAAUAUCAUCCAGAUAGAUGACAACAAAGUCAUCGAGGUACUCCCGAAAGAUGUCGUUCAUCAUAUGUUGAAAGACUACUGGAGCAUUGGUAAGACCAAAAGGCAUGACAUUGUACUCAAAAUGGCCAUACCUUGUACGAAAGGCUGUCUUCCAUUCAUCUCCUUCUUUGAUUCGCACAAGGUUGUAGGCUCCUCUUAAAUCAAUCUUUGUAAAAAUCCUUGCACGUCCAAGUUGAUCUAAGAGGCCGGAGAUCAAAGGUAAAGAAUAGCGAUUUUUCUUGGUCACCUUGUUGAGUCCUCGGUAGUCCACGCACAUCCGCAGUGAGCCAUCCUUUUUCUUCACGAAUAAGAUUGGUGCUCCAGCUAGCGACUUUGAAUGUCGAAUAAAAUUCUUGGCUAGAUUCUCAUCGAUGUACUUCCGCAAUUCUGCCAACUCCGUCUGCGAUAGGUUGUAUAUUGGACCAAAAGGUGGUUGCACUCCUUCCUCUAAGUCUAUGGCGCAAUCAUAUGGUCGAUGUUCCGGCAGUAUAUCGACGUUCUUCUUCUGAAACACGUCUUCAAAAUCCCUAUAUUGCUCUGGUAUAUUCGAUGUUGAGAUAUUCUCGCCGCUAGUUGGAGCUGCAUAAAUGACAAUUGGUGCGCCUUCCUUGGACGAUCUUAGGAACGCUCUCGCUCCAAUAAACAUGGAUUUCUUCAUGUAGGUUCUACCAACAGGUUUAUUAUUAUUUUUUUCAGGAAAUGUUAUCCUUCGUAGCCUCCAAUCAAUGGACGGAUUAUGAUCUUCUAACCAAGAAAGACCAAGGAUAACAGGGCUUGAUGGGGUUCUAAUAAUAUUAAAAAUAACGUGACUACUAUGGUCCUUAAACACCACUUCUAUAGGUUCUGAUUCGUGGGUAACGUUGCCUGACAAUAAGGGUCGUCCAUCUAUCACCUCUACGUGAACAGGUUUGGACUUCUGUACUAAACGGAUCUUGUGGCGUUUAGCAAACUCUUCAUCUAAAAAACAAGUAGAUGCCUCCGAAUCCAAUAAAGCUAAAGUUUUUUAUUUUUGAGGGCCUAAAAACAAAGGAAUUGUAAAACAACGGGCAGGUUGGACAGAGAAGGAGGAACCUGAUUGUUGUCGUGAUAUUAGAUUGUCCAGCCGCACGGUUCCUACUGUGGCUGGGCGUCGUCGUUUUUCGGAAUCAUCUCACUUCUAGUCUUCACAGGGUGCCAAUUUUGCUUCUUUGGGCAAUUUCCAACCUUGUGACCUUCUUCUCCACAGUACAAACAUAACCCUUCCUCCAUACGCUGUUUCUUCUCUGUUGGAGUAAGAGAUCGGACACGCGCCAUGUCGAUUUGCAUGUCUGUUGCCUACGAAUGUGAGUUUAAGCUAUUUGCAGACAUAGUCACGUCGUAACGAGUCAUUUGGUGUCUUGGACGUUGGUCUUGGCGACGCUGGCAUAGGCGGUUGUCACACUUUACAGCUUGGCUAAUAGCUUCGUUGAACGUUUGAGGAUCAGGAAGAGAUAACAGCAAGUCCUUCACAUCAUCCUUCAAGCCCCAAUAAAACUGACUCACCAACGCCUCUUCACCCCAAUUAAUGUCACUUGCCAAUUGUCUGAAAUCCGAGGCAUAGACUGAUGCAGAGCGUGUUCCUUGUCGUAGCGAUCGGAUCUUUGUUGUAGCCCAUCGAACUUUAGCAUGCUCACCAAAUGCUUCUGCAAACGCCUCCAAGAACGUUUCAAAGUUGCUCAGGAUUGGCGAUUGCUUCUCGAACAAGGGAGUAAACCAAGACAGAGCUUGUGUUGUAAGCAAGGUUCCAACAAGCCCAACACGCGCUUCCUCCGUCGGAUAACAUUCGGGCUAUAAAAUUGUUAUCAACCUGAUUUGGUUGACAAAACCUCGAAACUUGGAACGAGUUCCAUCAAACUUAUCCGGAAGACUAACUCGAGGCUCCUUUCGUUGUGGGACUACUCGAUCUUGUUGAAAUGGAGGUAGAACUGCUUCUUCUGGCGCAGAAGUUUGAGGCUGAUAUGCUUUAGAUGGCGCUAUCCCAGAUGCUCCAUUGUUAUGGAGUCCUACCAUGACUCCUUCGAUCUCUGUUGUCCUAUGUGACAACAAGGCAAGAGCAUUUAUGAUGGCAUCUAGUUUGGAUUCCAAACUUUCAGCCAUUUUAACGUCUUAACCUUCGGCUAACCUUCAGAAAGAAGAAAAAAGAGUUUUGACAAGAGGACAAUAUUGGUUCAGAGGAGAGUACUCCACAACCUCUAAAACGCCUUAAGACUCCAAAAUGAGGGGUAAUCCACUCUCUCCAAGAAGAAUAAGGCUCCAAUAUUGAGAAAGAAGAGAUAUCAGUUUAGAAGAGGGUAAUCCGCAACCUCUAAAACACUAGUACACCUUCAAGAAGAGGGGUAAUCCACUUUCUAACAAGAAGGAACUAGCUUUGAUACCAGUGAAAAUGCAGUCUCGACAAACUGUCACGGACACAAAAUACAGACUUGAAAUCUAACAAGAAGUUCAAGAAGAAGUGGCAGAACUAGAUUAAACAGAUGAGUACAAGAACAACACUAGAAAGGUGGGCUAGAACUCUAAGAGAUGUGUUGUCGAGACUGAAGAACCCUUCAGCCUCGACUCCUAUAUAUACUACUGAAUAGGAAGCUUCUCGAGCUACUUCCGCUAACUAGGACGCUUCUCCAACAACUUCUACUAAUUAGGAAACUUCUCGAGCAACUUCCUAGAAUCUAUCAAAAUAUUCUAGAACCUUCUAAGAAUAUUCUAAAACCUUCUAAGAGAAUCUUUAGGGAAUAUUCUAAUAAUCUUCUAGAACCUUCUAAAGGAAUCUUUAGAGAAUCUUUAAAGAAUAUUCUAGAAGAAUAUUCGAAGAAUCUUCCAAUGUAUGUCCAUGACAGCAUGUCUAGUAGUAGACAUCAAAAUUAGUGAUGUGGAAGUAGAACAAAACUUCUUUGUGUAAAAUCAAGAAAGUUAUCUAAUCAUUUUGGUGCAUCUAGAAAUCACAACAAGAAGGAUGGAGACCAAGUUGUUGGAUGAUGGCUCAUAUUAUAUUAGGAUUUAUAGCUAUGAUGGCAAUAAGUUAGUCUUGUUUUUCACAAUAAGGCCAAAUCAUGAGAAGAAUAGAGAUCAACUUAGAGAAAUUUCCAUGAACCAUAAGCAUGAUGAUUUUUUGAAUUUUUAGACUGCAUACAUGAAGCAUGGGAUGCCACAGAUACAAAGAAAUCAUCUACUAUAACAUGCUUUAAUAUACAUAGGAGAUGUUGUAAGAUUUUAAAUUUAUUAGAAGAUGGAUUUGUCAGUUUUGAAAAAGUUGAGGAUUUAGAUUCUAUGUAUAGAGGAUCAAUUAAAAAGAUUGAAAAAAAUUAAAAAGAAUUGAUGUGAUUUUAAAUAAUAAGUUUCUUUUUAGAGAUAUAUAAAAAAAAAAAAUCAAAUGAUGUUUUAUCAAUUUUGGAAACUUUGUAAGAGAAAGACAUUGUAGAAAUUGAUGUAAUGAUGGAGAUUCAUUUAAGAAGAUUAUAUGAAGGGAUAUUAAAGAUAGCUAUUAAUGCAAGGUUGAUUGGAAGUUAUGACUUAGAGACUAAAUCAAUGGUGAAUACCAAGUAUAAGACCAUGGCAAAGAAGAUGACGCUAGUGGUAAUACAACUGCCAUCAAUCUCCGAAGAUCAUAUUAAGAAGGCUAAAAAAGAGCCUACAUUAAGAGAAAUAAGAAAGAUUAAGCAUAAUUUUAUGAAAGAAACAUUAACAAAGCUAAAGAUUGGAAGCAGUGAGUUCUUAAGAGAAUAUGAGGAGAAAAGGGUCUGAGAAAUGAUUUCUAAGGAUGGUAAGACUUUUGCCUCUUCACCAAAUGAAAUUGGAUGUAUUAAUCCAAAAGUUAUUGUACCAAUGGUUAUUUUAACUAUUCCACAUAUAUUUUGGAAUUUAAAGCCAAUUUUUGUGCCAAAAGCCUUGCUAUCUAAGUUGGUGAGUCUAUUGAAGGAAAAUGUACAAAUAAAAAUAUUUGAAUCAUCUAUGGCUCCAAAUUCCAAUCAAUCGUUUACAAUACUAAAGAAGUCUUGGGCUUUGAGAUUCAUUUAAGAUAUGCAGUUAGUCAACAAGGUGAUAAUUAGAAAUAAGGCAUUAAGAUUGAUUAUGGAUGAAGUUGUUGAGACUUUUGUAAGACAUGCCAUUUAUUCUAUUAGAAAUCUUUUUUUUUGAUUAUGAUCAAUUUCAACUUACAUCAAAAAGUAGAGAUUUGACAACUAUGAAGACUUUAUUGGAACUUAUGAAGAUGUGCACUUUACUUCAAGGUGCCACUAAUUCAAUAGUUCAUAUGCAAAAUGCUAUGAAUCAAAUUCUGAGGGAUUUUGUACUUGAAAAGAUUAUUCUUUUUGUAGAUGAUAUACUUAUUAAAGAUUGCAAAGAAGAGAAUAAAGACUUGACAUUAGAUGUUGAUGGAUGCAAAAGAUUUAUGAAGGAUGAUAUUGAAGAUGUAGAAAAGAUUUUGAAGAAUCUUAAAAAGAUGGAUCUAAUAUUGUUUAUUGAUAAGUCUAAAUUUAGAAUUAAUGAGAUUAUAAUAAUUAAUCAUUUGUAUAGGAAGUAUGGUAAAAAAUCUAAUCUUAAGUUGAUUGAUGCUAUUGUUAGGAUAAAAGCAUGUAAUAGCAUCAUUGAAAUAAGAAGGUUUUUGAAAGUAUAUAUCUUCUAUUAGAUUUAGGUUCUUUACUUUAUUUUUAUAACUGAGUCAUUAUACAAUCUCUUAAAAAAAAGAAUUAAAUUUAGAUUGAAGAAAAAAUAAAUACUAGCUAUAGAGUCUAUAGGAGAUUUUGAAGUUAUCACUAAUCUUGAGGCAAAUUAACUAUGAUUGUGGUAGCCCAAUUGCUGUUACUAUUGAUAUAAAUCAUAUUGCUAUUGGGUCGACUAUUCGUCAAAAUGAUGUAGAAGGCAAAAGAUUUUCUAUCAAAUUUGGAGGAAGAAUUCUCACAAAUAGAUAGAAAGCAUAUCCACAAGUAAAGAAGGAGCUUUUGGAAGUACUUAAAACUAGAAAAAAAAACAUAAAUUACUUAAUUGGAACCAAUGUCAUGCUAAAAAUUCAUUGCUUAUCAUUAUUGGAUAUGAUUGCCAACUCUUAUAUUGUUGAUAUUGCUAUGUUGAGGUGCAUAGUCUACAUUAGAUCAUUCAAUCUUAUGUCAGUACACAUUUUUGGAAUUUUUUUUUUUGUAAUAAAUAUGUGUCACGGACAUACAUAUAAUUACCUAUAUGAAUAGAUAAAAGUAUGUAAAAGUAGGUUAAUUGUGUAAUAUCUUCUAGAGAAGCUUCUUAGAAGCUUCAUAGACGCUGUUUUGACUUUAUAGGAGUCUAUAGUUGACUUUUAGGUUAAAAACUUGGUCAACAAGUUAGCCAUGUGCCACGCAUGUUGGAAGCUUAAAGAACAAGCUAACUACGUGGUCCAUCCAUAGAAAACUUGCCUUGCAAGCAAAGGCAUGUGGCCUAGAAAGUCAACAUAUAUUGGAGGUCUUAUAGAACAUCGCCAUGUGGCUUCUAGUUAGAUAGUAUAUAUAGAGGCAAGAGUGAAGCCCUCUUCACUCUUGUCAACUCCUUUCUUGCUUCUAGUCUAGUUUCAAGGGUCUCUAGUUUUCUUGUAUUUUGGCAAUAGCCAUUCCAGUUUCUUUCUUAAUAUACAUAUUUCUAUUUUGUCCUAUUUCUUUUUGAGAAAAGUCUCACUUACUCUUUAGCUUUCAUCGAGUUCUUGUCCCUGACAGAUUGACAAGAGUACACUUACAAUAUGAGAGCUUUGUCUUUUCUUGAUUAAGAGUGGAUUACCCCUUUUUCUUGAUAAGACAUAAGCGCAUUAGAAGUUGCGGAUUACCCUCUUUUAAACUGAUAUUGUUCUUAGUAUUUUCUUUGUUAUCAAUUCCUCUCUUCUAUUUGUUUUGAGCGUUAUUAGACAUCUUCUCUUUUCUAAGUGCUACUAUGGCAGAGCUUGUUGAAAUGAAGAGUGCAAUGGCACAGAUGCAAGAACAAUUGAGGGAGUUAAUGCUUGCGAUGCAUCAACUCAAUUUACCACUACAAGGAGCAACAAGAAUGGUAGGAAGUGAAGAUAUAGAGAUGAUUGGGGCUGCUUCAACAUCUGCACCAAACCAUGUCCCUUCUCCCAGAAUGGAACACCCUUCGAGUGUUAGAGAACCGAGAGUUGCCUUGCCCGAGAAGUUUGAUGGUACCAGAUCCAAGUUUCGAGGAUUCAUCAAUCAGGUCCAACUAGUGAUUGAACUUCAACCCCAGAGCUAUCCAACUCCAGGGUCACAAGUAAGAUUCAUUGGUACACUUCUUUCAGGUUCAGCAUUGUCAUGGUUUUCAUCUUUUCUUGAAUGACGAGAUCCAAUAUUGGAUAAUCUGGAGGCUUUUUUGGCGGAGUUUCGAUCCAUGUUUGGAGAACAUGAUGCAAUUCGUGUUGCAACCAACAAGAUCCGUAUUUUGCGACAAGGCAAUCGAUCAGUAACAUUAUAUGCUUCGCAAUUUCGACAACUUGUAACUGAUAUCAAGUGGGAUGAUGCCGCACUUGUGAGUCAAUUUCUCUACGGAUUACAAUAUGAGGUAAAGAAAUUGAUGCUUAAUUUACCUGAUCCUCAAACAUUGAGUCAAGCAAUUGACUUUGCUGUGAAGUGCGACAAUCGACUUUUUGAAUUUCGAUCCGAGAGUCGCACAAGUGGGCCUCAACGUUACUACAAUUCAAUGGCAACACCGAUGUCUCCUCAACACAUACCUUCGGAAGUAGAGGAUAUGCAAAUUGAUGCGGUACGUUUCAAACCUCUUACUGAGCAAGAAAAGUCUCGUCGUCGACAAGAAGGAUUGUGCUUAUAUUGUGGAGAACCUAAGCACACUGCUCAACAUUGUCCAAAGAAGCGACGUAACUACAAAAUGAGGAGUACGGCUGUCAAAGAAGACAGUAUGUCGGAAAACGAGUACGUCCAGCUACAAUAGGGACCGUGCGGCUGGAAUCUUGUACAACUUCUAAUAAAGGUCCUAUCCUCUCCUCAAAACCAUCGCCUUGUUUUAUAAUAAAUGUGCGUUUAGGACCUAAUAAUUACAAAGCCUCUGCCUUGGUAGAUUCAGGAGCCUCAUCUUGUUUUUUAGAUGAAGAAUUUGCUAGAUGUCAUAGAAUAUCAUUAAUACAAAAAACUAAACCUGUACACAUAGAAGUCAUAGAUGGUCGUCCGUUGUCUUCUGGAGAUGUAACUCACGAAACACUUCCUGUAGAUGUAGUAAUAAAUGGUCAUAGUAGUUGCGUAAUUUUUAAUAUAAUUAGAUCUCCCUCUAAUCCAGUAAUUUUAGGCUUAUCAUGGUUAGAAAAGUAUAAUCCUCGAAUAGAUUGGAUUUCUCGUAAACUUGAUUUUCCUCAGAGCAUUAGUAACGGUUCUAUUAACCAAGUAAAAAACCAUGAGUCUAGUAUAGUAAAACUCACACCUAUAGGUGCAAAAGCAUUUAUACACGCAGCAAAAGAAGGAUCAACUUUUGCUAUUUAUGCUGCACCUAUUUCUGAAAGCGUAAAGACUUUAAGUGGCAUUCCAAGUCAAUAUCAAGAUUAUCAAGACGUUUUUGAGAAAAAGAAUGCAGAUAUUCUUCCUGAGCAUCGCCCAUACGAUUGUUCAAUCGAUCUCAAGGAAGGAACUCAGCCACCAUUUGGACCAAUUUACAGUUUAUCGCAAGAUGAGUUGGCUGAACUCAAGACAUAUAUUGACGAGAAUUUUGCAAAGAAUUUCAUACGCCAUUCAAAAUCUCCAGCAGGAGCUCCAAUUUUAUUCGUAAAGAAAAAGGAUGGAUCUUUACGAAUGUGUGUUGACUAUCGAGGACUCAACAAGAUCACAAUCAAGAACAGGUAUCCAUUACCUUUGAUAUCAGGACUCCUUGACCAGUUAAAUCAAGCUAAGAUCUAUACAAAAAUAGAUCUAAGAGGAGCAUAUAAUCUAGUACGGAUCAAAGAAGGAGAUGAAUGGAAGACUGCGUUUCGAACCAGGUACGGGCAUUUUGAAUAUAAUGUCAUGCCUUUUGGACUCACGAAUGCACCAGCUGCUUUUCAACAUCUCAUGAAUGAUGUAUUUAGUGAAUUCUUAGACAAUUUUGUCGUCUGCUACCUAGACGAUAUCCUGAUUUAUUCUAAGAAUGUUGAAGAACAUGAAAUACAUGUUCGUCAAGUAUUACAAAAACUCAGAGAUGCAGGAUUGUACGCCAAGAUGGAAAAGUGUGUAUUUCACACUACUCAAGUUGACUUUUUAGGAUACAUCAUUUCAAAUGAUGGUCUUAUGAUGGAUUCUAAGAAAGUCCAAACAAUCAUGGAUUGGAAGAUUCCAAAGACUGUGAGAGAUGUCCAAUGUUUCUUGGGAUUUGCCAAUUACUAUCGGAUCUUCAUCAAAGACUUCUCACGAGUUGCAGCUCCACUUACACGCUUGACUAGUAAAGAUAAAUUCCAAUGGAAUCAAGAAGCGGAAGCAGCAUUUGAAGCCUUGAAGACAUCGUUUGUCUCUGCACCAGUCUUAUAUCGUGUUGAUUUUUCCAAGGCAUUUUUUAUGGAAACAGACGCAUCGGAUUUUGCCUUGGGUGCAGUUUUAUCACAAAUGGGAACAGAUGACAAACUUCAUCUGAUAGCUUUUCAUUCAAGAAAAUUCUCAGCAGCCGAGAUCAAUUAUGAGAUCCACGAUAAAGAACUUCUUGCAAUCGUGGAUUCCUUUCAAGAAUGGCGUCAUUAUCUAGAAGGUGCUUCUAGUCCAGUCACUGUGUAUACAGAUCACAAGAACCUCGAGUAUUUCAUGUCAGCACGCGUGUUGAAUCGUCGUCAAGCUCGUUGGAGUAUGUCUUUGUCAAGAUUCGACUUCAUUAUCACUUAUCGGCCAGGAAAACAACAAGGUUUGUCCGAUGCCCUGUCUAGACGUUCUUAUUUUGCACCAAAAGAAGGAGAUGCAGCUUUUGAGCAACAAAGAACGGUCCUCUUGAAACCAGAGCAAUUUCAUCUCCGAGCAGUGAAAUCAACAUUGACUGUUGAUUCAACUUUUCUCAAGCAAAUCCAGUCCAGUAUGUCCUCAGACCCUCUUGUUCAUGAUAUCGAGAAUAAUUCUUCCAAGUCUCAUGAUUCUUCUAAGUUCGAGUUCAAGAAUAAUCUAUUAUAUUUUGAAGGACGCCUAUAUGUUCUAGAAGGAAAAGCACGUUUGCGUGUUCUUCAAGCACGUCAUGACUUUCCAGCAGCAGGGCACUUUGGAUAUAAUAAGACUCUGGAACUCAUAUCAAGAGAUUUUUGGUGGCCACAAAUGUGGAAGUCAGUCAAAGACUUUGUACAAUCAUAAAAUAUUUGUUCAAGAUCAAAAAUUCCUCGACAUCGACCUUACGGACUUCUUCAGCCAUUACCUAUACCAGAACAACCAUGGUCUUCUGUUUCUAUGGAUUUCAUCACAGAUCUUCCAAACUCAAGAUCUUAUGAUUCUAUAUUUGUGAUAGUAGAUCGUUUCACCAAGAUGGCACAUUUUAUGCCAUGUACAAAAUCUAUCACAGGUGAAGAAACAGCUAAGCUUUUCAUUGAUAAUAUCUAUCGCUAUCAUGGAUUACCUAAAGAUAUCAUAUCGGAUAGGGGAACUCAAUUUGUGUCAAGAUUCUGGAGGACUCUUUUCAAGAUUUUAAAAGUGGACAUAAAGCUAUCUUCAGCUUUCCAUCCUCAAACUGAUGGACAAACAGAGCGCGUAAACCAAGUCUUGGAACAGUAUUUAAGGUGUACCAUCAACUACCAACAAGAUGAUUGGACAAACCUUCUGCCAUUGGCAGAGUUUGCUUAUAAUAAUACGGUACAUUCUUCCACGCAACAAACACCUUUCUUUGCCAAUUAUGGCUAUCAUCCACGACUUGAUACUUUUGAUUUUUCAAAAGUUGAUAAUCCUGCAGCAGAAGAUAUGGCAAAUCGGUUGUCAGAGUUACAUGCAAUAAUGAAGGCGCAGUUGAAGAAAGCUCAAGAACGACAAAAGAUAAAUGUAGAUGUAUAUCGUAAAGAGCAACCACAACUCAACGUGGGUGAUAAGGUAUGGCUACUUCGUCGCAAUAUCAAGACCACUCGACCGUGUGACAAAUUGGACUAUAGUAGGCUUGGCCCCUUUUCUGUUUCUGAACAGAUCAACCCAGUUGCAUAUCGGUUACAUCUACCGGAGUCAAUGAAGAUCCAUCCUGUAUUCCACGUGUCUCUUCUUGAACCAUAUAAGACAGUGGAUAUACAAGGAAGAAGACAAAUGCCACCGCCUCCUAUAGAAGUAGAUAAUAAUGAAGAAUUUGAGGUGGAAGAGAUAUUAGACUCAAGGCGGCGCCGAAAUAAGCUGGAAUAUCUUGUUUAUUGGUGCGGAUAUGAUAUUAGUGAGCGCACAUGGGAGCCAUCCAAGAAUCUAGCAAAUGCAUCAGCUAAAGUCAAAGUUUUUCAUCAACGACAUCCAUCAAAACCAAGAUGAAAACCUCUCUUAUAAAAGAGACAAGAUUGAGGCAAGAUAACAUUCAAUUUCCUAUCCUUGUUUAUAAAUUCUUUACAUUUUGUGACGCUAAUUAGAUGGAGAGCCAACAACCAGCGGAUUCAACUCAAGAACCUUCGUUUGCUGACUUACCGGAUGAGACAUUACGAUUGUCACAACCUUCAAGACGACGAAACCGAGAUGAAGACCCUCAAGAACGACAUGUUCUUCCUCGAACAGAUGGUGAGAUACAACGCGUUUGGUAUCACGACCUUGGAAGAGAUUCUCGAUGUUUGGUGAUAUUAUUGGAGAUAGGAACGACUCCUGAUGGUCUUUCAAAUGUAUUAUUUGAAGGAAGUUAUGAAGGCCUCAACAGUGAUCAAAUAACAGGGUGGUCUUCUCGCCCUGGAAUGGGACACUAUCGAUGGCUAAGAGGACCCAUCAACUAUCUUCGAAGAGAACAAAGAUCAGAGUAUGUAGCAAAUACAAUUCGCCGCAUAUUAGAUUUUCUCAAUAUAUAAUCACCGCUCCUCGUGGAACUCGUCCCUAGAAGGGGGGGUAAUGUCACGGACAUACAUAUAAUUACCUAUAUGAAUAGAUAAAAGUAUGUAAAAGUAGGUUAAUUGUGUAAUAUCUUCUAGAGAAGCUUCUUAGAAGCUUCAUAGACGCUGCUUUGACUUUAUAGGAGUCUAUAGUUGACUUUUAGGUUAGAAACUUGGUCAACAAGUUAGCCAUGUGCCACGCAUGUUGGAAGCUUAAAGAACAAGCUAACUACGUGGUCCAUCCAUAGAAAACUUGCCUUGCAAGCAAAGGCAUGUGGCCUAGAAAGUCAACAUAUAUUGGAGGUCUUAUAGAACAUCGCCACGUGGCUUCUAGUUAGAUAGUAUAUAUAGAGGCAAGAGUGAAGCCCUCUUCACUCUUGUCAACUCCUUUCUUGCUUCUAGUCUAGUUUCAAGGGUCUCUAGUUUUCUUGUAUUUUGGCAAUAGCCAUUCCAGUUUCUUUCUUAAUAUACAUAUUUCUAUUUUUUCCUAUUUCUUUUUGAGAAAAGUCUCACUUACUCUUUAGCUUUCAUCGAGUUCUUGUCCCUGACAAUAUGUCAUUCAAAGCUAAAUAUACAAAUAUUCAAAAGAAAAAAUUAAUAUUGAUAUAUUUUUAAAAGAAUAGUGUAUUACAAAUGAAUUAUAGUGAAUAAUAAUACAUGGUUUGUAUAGAAAAUAAAGCAUUUUUUAUAGCUAAUAAAUGAACUUAAGUUGAAAAGAAUCCAUUAAAUAAUUGCGGAGCUAUGAUUAAUCUAAUUUGGAAUAGUAUUGAAAUAAUUUUUUGAGUGAGGUAUCCAAUUACAUAUUAGUAUUUUGUAGGACCUCUUUUGGCCUUAAUAACUACUUCCAUUAUCUUAUGCAUACUUUCUAUUAACUUUUGGUAAAAAAUUGAUUCAAUAUUAUUCUAUUUUCUAGCUAUUCUUUUUCAUAAUUUCCAAACUUCUUUUGAUUUUAUCUUCCAUGUAUUGAGCUGGCAUUUGAAGUGCCUCCAAAGAUGUUCAAUGGAAUUGAGAUGAAGAGACUGAGCACACCAAUCCAUUAUAUUAAUUCCAUAAUAAUCAAACCACUUCUAUACUAGUUUUGAAUUAUGCUUGGGAUCGUUAUUUUGCUAAAAAAUCAUCUCGUUCUUAGAAAUGCCAAAUUCUUUAAUACUAGAGAGCAAGUUUUUUUCAAGAAUUUCUACAAAUUACUUGACAUCCAUCCUCUCUCAAUCUUUGUCAUCUUUUCUAUCCUAUUCCAUUCUAUAUAAUCUCAUAUUAUUAUAUUUCUACCUCCAUGCUUAAUUGUUUUUUGGAUCUUCUUGUCAAGCGAGGACUAAUCCUUUUGUUUCUACACCCACUUCUUGCCAUCUGAUCCAAAUCUAUUGAUUUUGGUCUCAUCUUACUAAAUAAUCCUCUUCCAAUCCUCCACAAUUCAUUCUUUGUACUUUAGAGCAAAAUCCAAGCAUUGUUUUCAAUGGCAGGUAGAUAGUAGUGAUUUUUUUUCUUCACUACGGCUUUCAUAUUCUAUUUCUUGAGAAUGUUUCAAAUAGUUUAAAUUGAAAUAUUAUAAUUAAUAAUAUUGUUAAGAUUUUUAGCAACCUCAAUAGUAUUUUCAGCCUUUCUAGUAUUGAUUUCACAAAUGAUUAUUCUUUCAUCUACUAUAGUGAGCUUCUUUGGUCUACCUAAUUUAAGGUUCUUCCUAUCAAAAAUGAUCUUUUUUGCUAGCCUGGACAUAGUAAUUUUACUGCAAUCAAGUUCAGAAGCAAUUUGGCCAUAAGUUUUUUGAAAAUGAAUAAAAAUAAAGAUGAUGUUGUCUUGGAGAGAGUAAGGAAUAGGUUUUAUAGUUGUUUAAGGAAUUAUCAAGGAUAUAAGAAUUUGACAAAGAAAUAUGUCAAGAUUAAAGACAAAGAAUGAGAUUGAUAGCAAAAGUAGUUUCAAAGAUUCUUAUUUAUACUAUAAUGAAGGUUACAAAAGUCUAUGGUACUUUCUAUGGAAGUUUUUAGGAGUCUAAAGAAGCUUCUAGAAAUCUAAAGAGGCUUCUACAAGCCUUUCGAACUUUCUAAAAAAAUAUAGAAGAUUCUAUAAGUAUCUAAAAGAUUCUAAAAAUUUAUAAAAGAUUUUAGAAGGUCUUAAAAUAUAAUAAUUUAGAAUAUAUCUAUGCCAAAAAUUGUGAUUAAAAAUGGUACUUUUAUAGAUGCUAGUAAGCAUCAAUGAUGUCAUUAGAUUAGUAAUAAUAUUUUUAUAGUAAAUUUGAUGAUGAUAGAAUGUUGUAAUUUUGCGUAAUUGAUAAAAUCCAAAAAUUAGAAACUACACUCAAAAAAUUGUUUCAAUAUUACUCCAAAUUAGAUUGAUUAUUGCUCUACAAUUAUCUAAUGGAUUCUUUUCAACUUAGGCUCAUUUGGUAGUUAUAAAAGAAUACUUUAUUUUCUAUAUAAACCACGUAUUAUUAUUCACUAUAAUUUAUUUGUAAUAUACUAAUAUUUUAAAGAUAUGUCAAUAUUGAAGUAAUUUUUUGAGUCACUAUAUUUGUGAAGAAGAGGUGGAGACACAACAGAUUGGUGAAGAUGAUGAAAAUGAAGGCUAUGGCUAUAUGCUAACUAUUAAUGGACUAAAUAUAAAUAGUGAAUAUUCUUGUAUAUCCUUGAUUUGUAUAGUUGAUAUAAUUAUCUUUUAAAAGAUAAGCUAUAAUUAAUAGUUGUAUUUUAUAAACUUGCAACUUGUUUGAGCAAUUAGUGGCAACCAAAGGCUCAACCUUUUUUUGAGAUAAACUCUCUCUAGUACAAUACAGUGGCUAAAAAGAUAUAAUUCUCAAAUAGAUUUAACUUUUCAAAACCUUAAUUUUUUUGUAAUUUAAUUGAGGAUCCUACUAUUUCAAUAAAAUUCUAUAAGUAGAAAAUGAUCAAAUCCUUAUUAAUAGAUAUAAGAACUAUCAUGUAUACAUCAAAAAAAGAGCCAACUUUUGUUAUAUAUGCCACACCUAUUUUUGAUGAAGAAAAGUCUUCAAGUAAUAUUCUUAUCUAAUAUUAAGAUUAUUAAGAAGUUUUUGAGAAGAAAAAUAUAGAUAUUCUUUUAGAUUCAUGAAUGCACUAAUUGCUUUUCAAUAUUUAAUAAAUGAUGUCUUUUUGUAGAAUAGAUAUUAGUUUGUUUUUGUAAGAUAUUAGUAAAAUAAAAUAAUAGUCUAUAGAAUAGUCAGUUUAGGAGGACAGAUGAUUGAUUCAGAUAUUAAAAGUCGUUAUUAUAGGAUUACGGUUAGAAUCUGGAAAUUAGUAGCAAUAAUAUAGAAGUUGUAGAAGUUUGUCGGGGGCCAGACUGUGAUAGUUAUGAGUCGGGGUUAAGCUUGGUGCUUCCUCUUUGUUUUUUUUGUUUUUUUUGUUGUUGAAGAAUAAUGGAUAGUUUCUGAAUACUGAGAAGUGAGUCUGUGGAAUAAAUCAGAGAUUGAUUUAUGAGUUAUUGAUUAUGUAAUUGGAGUAUUGAGUGAUUGAAUUAUAUGAAAAGUUAUUGGAAGAUUGAUUAUGGAUGGAAGAUUAUGAUUGUUGUUUAUUGAGAGUUGUGUGUGUGUUUUGACAAAGGAAGUCUCUGAUUACAGGAAUUCUGUGAAUUCAGAUUGAUUAGAGUGAAGUCUAUUAUUCCUGGUGUUGGAUGGAAUUUAUUGAGUUUUGAGCGGUCUUUUGAGAGUGCAGGGUUGCACAUUGUGGUUAUCAGUUGAUGAAGGAGUAUUGUUACUGGGAGAAAGCAUUGUAGUAUUUCUUAGUAUUUUAGUGGUUUGGAAUAUAGUUAAUUGUGUUAUCCUAACAAGUGAAAUUCAUGCGCUUAGUCUUUCCAUGUGUUCGAAUUCCCUUAUACAGGUUUAUUCUGGAAGGAAUUGUAGAAUAAAUAAAACGACAAUCACAUUUUGGAGCCACUGUCGAGGAUUGACAAUAACAUUGAGUGUUAUGAAUUAACUAUUGGAUGAGUAGAUGGAAAAUAGGAAACAAAUUCAGUAGUAUAUAAUGAAAGAUUAUAGUUAUUAAGAAUGAAAACAUUGCAAUAAAGAAAACACGCUAGUUGAAAGAAAGACAAGAGAGAGCGCAAGCAAGAGAAUCGUUGCAAAACAAGCAAGAAUUCAAGUUAAAAAGAAAGCAUCGACAAAGUUGGAUUAAGCUAUGGUUGCAUGCCUAUUGGCAUAUCCGAGUAUACUCAAAAGCUGAUCGACAUCAAAUAUUUUAGCAAUAUAUACCAUUAAGAAAAUUGUUGAGAGCACUCGAAGGGAAUUUUGUCACCAACCCAGCGUAUCUCUUGAGCUUGUAAACUGUAAGUGGAAGAAACACAAAAGAAUUGGGUACUCCAUUGGGUACCUUCCCAAUAGCAGAAACUACUGAUUCUGUAAAAACAGGUUCCGUAGAAUGGCAUAAAUUCCUUGCCAAUAAGGACUAAUUUAGCAUAUUUCAAAAUCCAUCAUUUUUACCUCCAAUUCAACUAAUAAACUUAUUUAGGGAUAAUAAUAGUAAAUUAAGGAGGUUAGAAAGUCUAAAAAAGAUAAUUGGAGAAGACAGUGGUAAUUUUAAUAAGAGAUUAAGCAGCACAUUGUCCUCUUCAAUUGUGACGGGUAGUCCAGCGGUUCCAAUAGCAGUACAAAUGGGUGAUGUGAGCGAUUGCACAAUGAGCGUGGUUCCAUUACCUACUUUUAGGGCUUUUGGGGUGCGGAUUUCGAUCAACAUUUGUCUCAAUUUUUGACAGCAUGUGCAGCUAAUAAUGGAAGAAUCGAAGAUAAUUGGUUACGAUGGUUGCCAAUAACCUUAAAGGACACGGCAUUUGAAUGGUACAAUUGCCAACUAGUGGGUCAAUUUCGGAAUUGGAAAGCAUUGAAUAAUACAUUUUUAACCCAUUUUUGGCCAAUAGGUUUUGAGGUUUGUCUUCGAGAGAGGUUAAUGAACAACAAAAUGAUCCUAAGGGUGGCGAUAGAAUCGUAUUAUGGUCGGGUGGCUGAUAUACUAAGUAAGUGGCCAAAUCACCAAAUAUCGGAGGCAUUUAUCUUAUCCAUAUUAAUCAAUGGUUUGCAACCACUUAAGUUAAAAAUGUUUGUGAAGGAAGCUCAACCUGUUACGGUGUUUGCAUCCCUUAAUAGAGCCAAGGUUUGGGAGGAAUGCCAUUAUGAUCAAUUUUUAACUACGAGAGCUACGUUGAUUCUAGUUCAAGGCAGUUAUCAAAAUCUGACUUGGAACGGAUCAGUGGGUGCUUAUCCACGGAUGUUAGAUACAAGGGCGAAUUCCAAAGCCAAUAUUCAGAGGCCAGUUAAUGUCACUCCAUUGCAAGCUAUACCACCAAACAUGACAACAAUGUAUGCUCCCUAUUUUUCGUAUCAACAAUAAGCAUUAACUGCGAUAGAGUUACUAAUAAUACCAACCUCAAAAGAUUCCAAUGAAGCCUUGUUGUUGAAUUUGAUGAAGAAAAUGGAAGAAAUGGCCGUCAAUAUGACCAAGGAUAAGGAGAAGAUGUAAAAGCCUAUCAAUACUAGGACCACCCUCACAAAUGAUGGAUCAAUGUAUAUUUUGCGGAGGAAAGUACUUAACAGCUAAUUAUUGGAAUUUGCAAAGGCAACAACAAUUCAGUAAUCAAACCAUGAUCCCACCAACUCACUAGGACGUCAAUUAAGUUCAAUCAAAAAAUACGUUUGGAUGGAAUAGAAAUCGAUCUAAUCGAUAAAAUUGAACAUUCAAUAACUUUCAAAGUUCUAAUUUUAAUCAGAGGUCUGUAUCAAAUCCCAAGAACUACGGAAAAGAGCAAUAGAGGUAUCAGCAAUAUGAUCCACCGGCGUCAUCGAACCAAGUUUCCUCCAUUCCAACGGGACAACCAAGAUCAUUUUCUAACCCUACAUGGAACAAGUCUAGUAGGUAUAUAUUGGUGGAGACACCCAAUAUGCCUGAUGGGGGUGCAAGAAGACCACUUCGUUGUUUUUAUUGCAAACAGAUUGGCCAUUAUGCCAGUGAAUGUCCCAAUCCCAAAGCUAGUGACGAUUAUGCGCCAGUUUGUAGAAAUUGCAAGCAGUCAGGGCAUACUUAUCACCAAUAUAAUACUUCGUUCAAUUUCAAUAAUCAAGAUCAGCAGAUCCAAAACCAAGGAAAAAUGAAGGAGAUAAAUCAAGGUCCUAAAGAUUCUCUAGUAAAUCAGAUGGAAUGUAUCCAAGCCGUUCUUAAUAGGAGUCAGCAAAAAAGAAAAUGACCAAUUCAACAUUUGGUUGAUCUUGAAGCAAAGGGCCAAUUUGACCCAAUUAUGGGGACAUCCAAUCUAGGUCGUGUUAUAGGCCUCUUACCCAGUAUGAGACCUGACUCGGUUGGGCUACCCAAUGAGGUACCGAUUACGGAGGCUUCGGAUCCAUUUCAAGCUGUUCCGUUCUCUACAUAGUUUUGAGAAACGUCUUUUCUAUUGAAAGAUCCUCUAGGAGGCGUGAAUUCCAAGGAAGCUCCGUCUACUGUUCUAAUUCUGAGUCCAGGGCGGAAGAAUAUCUUACCUCAAGGAGUUAAACUCCAACCAAUGAAAAGAAAGAGGGCAUUGGGCAUUACCUUAAAUAUGGAAUCCUAUGACAUAUUGAAGGAUCUGGAUACUAUUCGGCCUUCUAUUUCUAUGAAGCAACUUCUAGCGGUUGCACCAAAGUGUUGUUCUACAUUAAAUUCAUCGUUAACAUGGCAUAAGCAAUGUAAUAAAGAAGUUUGUGAAGUCAGUUUGAACCUUGACCCAAAUGCACCAACCAUCGAUGUUUUAAUUGAUGGUGUUAUGAUCUCGGGUGUUUAGGUGGAUGGUGGUUCCAAUGUCAAUUUAAUGAAUGCUGAUACAAUGGAUGCUUUAGAUUUGGAAUACUUAGUACCCACGACAUUGAUAUUAUGGAUGACAAAUCAUAGCCAGGUUAAACCAAUGGAUAUUUUACAGAGUGUUCAAACUAUAAUUGCUGGUAUUGCAUAUGGAAUUGACUACAUUGUCUUUUGGCUACAACGUUUGACUUUAUCAUAUUUAAUUUUAUUGGGACAACCUUGGCUUUAUCAAGCGAAGGCCAAGAACGAUUAUGAUCGGGGUAUUUUGAUAAUUGGCAAGGGCGGAGACAAAAUGGUAUUAAAAAUGUACCUAGUAUGCUAUCUCAGGGAGUUUCAAUUGCCAGCAUCUGAAUUGACGUCAAACAAUGAGCUUAGCUCUGAUGACGACGUAGUCAUACCGAUUACGGAGGCAUCCGUGGAUGCAACACAAUACCCUAGAGUGGUAUACCAAUGUAGAAGUCCAGAGGAGUACUUGAUAUAUCCGAUAGAUUUAGAAAACUCUGAGUAUGUUAAUAUUGAUUGGAUGACCAAGUAUGAUGUGCACCAUAUCAGUGCUCAAGACAUAGGAUUCAAUACUUCACACAUGUCGGAUGUAUCAACUGAUUUUCAACCAACAUGGGAGUUGAAACAGAACAUCGCCAUUGCACUUUUAUGUCAAACUAUUAACUUGGCGAGUACAAUAGAACCUCGGACAAUUAAGGUCUACAAAGGUAUUAAGGAUCAGGAGUUGACCUGUUGGACAGAAUUUUUCUUGUAGCAUAAGUCCGCUUUUGCUUGAACUUAUGCUAAUUUAAAGGAUAUUCUCCCUGAUGUCUGUGAGCAUCGUGUCAUUUUAGAGGAGAACGCUAAACCAGUACGGCAAAGAAAAUAUCGCCUUAAUUCUAAAUAUUCUCUCAUGGUGAAGGAAGAAUUAGACAAGCUUCUUGCGGUUGGUUUUAAUUACCCAGUACCGAAUAGCGAGUGGAUUUCUCCAAUCAUGAUGGUGCCGAAAAAGAAUGAAAAAAUCCGCAUUUGUCAGGAUUUUCGAAAACUUAAUGCGGCCACCAAGAAGGAUUACUUUCCGUUGCCUUUCACAGAUAGUAUUUUAGACGUCAUAGUGAGUCACGAAUGUUAUUCGUUCCUCGAUGGAUUUUUUGGAUAUAAUCAAGUUCAAAUUACAAUGAAAGACCAGCUUAAGAUGACCUUUACUACGGAUUGGGGCACAUUUGCUUAUCGCAUGAUACCUUUUGGAUUAUGUAACGUCCUAACCAUGUUUCAGAGAGUGAUGACUCAAGCCUUCCAAGACUAUCUCUGGUUAUUUUUGGAGAUCUUUUUAGAUGACUUUUGUACAUUCAGUACAAAACAUGAUCAUCUUAAUUAUCUAGGUAAAUGUUUGGCUCAAUGUGUUAAGUUUGGAAUAUCAUUGAACUUGAAGAAGUAUCAUUUUGGUGUUCCAUCCGGUAAAUUAUUGGGACAUAUCGUCUCCAACCAUGGUAUUGCUACGGAUCCUGACAAAGUGCAGCAUAUAAUGAACUUGCCCCAACCAGAGACGGUCUUCGGUGUUCGUGGGUUUGUGGGCCAUGUCAGUUAUUAUCGAAGAUUCAUUCGUUUGUUUGCAGUUAUUUGUCAACCUUUAACGAACAUAUUAAAGAAACCUCCGUCAGAUAGGACUAGUCCCAUCUGGACUAUGGAGUGUACCAUGACCUUUGAAGCAUUGAAAUCAAAAUUGGUCUCUGCACCAAUAUUGGUGGCUCCUCGUUGGAUGGAGCCCUUUCAUGUGUACGUUGAUGCAUCCAAUGUGACUAUUGGAUCGGUGUUAAGUCAGAAGGAUGACAAAGAUUUGGAUCAUCUUAUCUAUUAUGCCAAUCGGCAAUUGGUGGCUGCCAAACGCAAUUACACUACUACUGAACGAGAAGCGUUGAGUAUGAUAUACUCGGUUCAGAAAUUUUAGCACUAUUUGCUUGGAUAUCCAUUUGUUUUUUAUGUGGAUCAUGAUGCCAUCAAAUACAUGAUUAAUACAUCUCAAUUGAGUGGAUGCAAUGUCCGAUGGGUCUUACUAUUACAAGAGUUUAAUUUUACCAUUAUCGUAUGACCUGGGAAGGAACAUGCCAAUGUUGAUCAUUUAUCCCGGUUGUCUAAUAUUCUUGGCAACGAGCCUGUCCCGAAUGCUAUUCCCAAUGCCAAAUUAUUUGUGGUGGAUGUGAUUUUCCUCGAGUAUAGUAAAAUCAUUCAGUUUCUGACCUUCCACACCUUUCUGCCGACUUUCACCGAGAAGCUUAAGAAGCAACUCAUUCUGAAGAGUGCCCCGUACACAAUAAUUCGCAAUGCUUUGUAUAAACAUGUAAAGAUGGUAUUUUACAUCGAUAUAUCUUUCCAAGUGAAGUACAGUCGAUCCUCGAAGGUUGCCAUUUGGAUAAUUGUGGUGGUCAUUUUGCGAGAGAUAGUACCGCUCGUAAGGCUUUAAUGGUCGAAUAUUGGUGGCCCACAAUGUUUUCUGAUGUGGACCAAUUUAUUUGUCAUUGUGAUCCCUAUCAACAAAUUGGUCGACUCACGGGCACUUUUGCGAUGCCGUUAGUUCCAAUCUUAGCACAGGCACCGUUCAAAAAAUGGGGUAUUGAUUUUGUUGGUCCCAUUGCACUAGCGUCAAAACUUAGCCAGAAUCGAUAUAUUUUAGUUGCCACGGACUAUGUAACAAAAUAGGCAGAGGUUAUUGGUACGUGCCAUAAUAAUGCCAGUACAGUACCUAUGUUUCUAUAUGAAAAUAUUAUAACUCGAUUUGGGUGUCCAAAGGAAUUGAUUAGCGAUCGCAGCACCCAUUUCCUAAAUGCUACCAUAGCUGCCUUGAUGAACGCAUAUGAGAUUAAGCAUCAAAAAACCACUUCAUAUCAUCGUCUUGCUAAUAGGCAAACGAAAAAGAUCAAUGAAAUUUUGUGCAAGGUCUUGACUAAGACAGUUUUGGGGGUGAGUAUCGAUUGGGAGACCAAACUCUUUGCGGCUUUGUGGGCAUAUCACACCACAUAUAAAGUAACUAUUAACUCUACUCUGUUUCAACUAGUUUACGAUCAAGAGGCAAUUUUAUCCAUGGAGUUGGAGGUUCAAAGUUUAUGGAUUGUCUUGGAUGAACGACUUAGUGACAAAGAAUUAUUACAUUCUCAAUUGGCAAAAUUGGAAGAAUUGGAUGAAAUACGGACUACAGUUCUUUUUUACAUAGAAGCAACUCAAAAACGGAGGAAGAGUUACUAUAAUAAUAAACUGCGUCCAAAGAUUUUUAUGUCCAAUGAUUUGAUAUUACUAUACGAUAGCCAAUUUAAUCAUUUUUCGAGAAAAUUUCAAGUUUGUUGGCAUGGGCCAUAUUGGGUGAUUGAAGGUUUUUUCAAUGGGUCUAUCCAAUUGGAGGAUUUCAUAGGCCAUCACUUUAGUACCCACAUUAACGGGAAUUAGUAAUUUUGUAGAGUUUUGUUAAGUUGUUUUUAGAUAGGAAUCAAUUGUGUGUUUGCGAGGACACUGCACAAAUAGGAGUGGAGCUAUGUAGAAUAGAUAUUAGUUUGCUUUUGUAAGAUAUUGAUAAAAUAAACUAAUAGUCCAUAGAAUAGUCAGUUUAGGAGGACGGAUGAUUGAUUCAAUUAUUAAAAGCGGUUAUUAUAGGAUUAUGGUUAGAAUUUGGAAAUUAGUAGCAAUUAUAUAGAAGUUGUAGAAGUUUAUCGGGGGCCAAACUGUGAGUUAUGAGUCGGGGUUAAGCUUGGUGCUUCGUCUUUGUUUUUUUUUGUUUUCUUUGUUGUUGAAGAAUAACGGAUAGUUUUUGAAUACUAAGAAGUGAGUCUAUGGAAUAAAUCAGAGAUUGAUUUAUGAGUUAUUGAUUAUGUAAUUUGAGUACUGAGUGAUUGAAUUAUAUGAAAAGUUAUUAAAAGAUUGAUUAUGGAUGGAAGAUUAUGAUUGUUGUUUAUUGAGAGUUGUGUGUGUGUUUUGACAAAAGAAGUCUGUGAUUACAAGAAUUCUAUGAAUUCAGAUUAGUUGGAGUGCAGUCUGUUAUUCUUAGUGUUGGAUGGAAUUUAUUGAGUUUUGAGCGGUCUUUUGAGAGUGCAGGGUUACACAUUGUGGUUAUCAGUUGAUGAAGGAGUAUUGUUACUGGGAGGAAGUAUUGUAGUAUUUCUUAGUAUUUUAGUGGUUCAUAAUACAGUUAAUUUAUGUGACCCUAAUAAGUAAAACUCAUGCGCUUAGUCUUUUCCUGUGUUCGAAUUCCCCUAUACACGUUUAUUUUGGAACAAAUUGUAGAAUAAGUAAAACGACAAUCACACUUUUGUAAGUUUCUUGAUGAUUUAUUUAUUUAUUAUCUUAUAUUCAAAAAAAAAGAUAUAACUUUUAAUCUAUAUAUAUAUUUUUUGAAGUUGAAGUAUUUUUAUCUUUAAGUAAUGAAAUCAAUAUUAAUUAUUGAUUUAAUAUUUCUUAAUCAAGCUUUAUCAAAUAUGUCCUUAAGUCUUCUUAUUUAUGAUAUUAAUAUUAAUUCUUCUAAGUUUCAUAAAAAUUCUAAGUUUGAAUUUAAGAAUAAUCUAUUCUAUUUUGAGAGACAAUUAUAUAUUCCAAAAGGUGAAGCAUAAUUAUGUGUCUUUCAAAUUUAUCACAACUUUCUAUUAGUUUGAUAUUUUGGAUACGAAAAGACUUUGGAGCUAAUAUCUAGAGAUUUUUGGUGGCUUCAAAUAUGGAAGGCAGUCAAAGACUUUGUAUAAUCAUGUAACAAUUGUUCAAGGUGAAAAACUCUACAUCAUUGAACUUAUGGACUUUUUAAGCCAUUACUUACUUUAGAACAAUCACGGUCCUUUAUUAACAUGGAUUUUAACACAAAUCUUCUAGUCUUAUGUUUGUAUAAUUUUGUAUUUAUAAUAGUAGAUUAUUUUAUUAAGAUAGUAUAUUUUAUAUCAUAUAUAAAAACUAUUAUAAGUAAGAAAAUAACUAAAUUUAUUCUUAAUAACAUUUAUCUCUAUUAUCAAUUGCUCAAGGAUAUUAUAUCAAAUAAUAAGACUCAAUUUGUAUCAAGAUUUUGAAGAACCCUUUUUGAAAUUUUAAAGGUCGAUGUUAAGCUAUCUUUGGCUUUUUAUCCUUAAACCAAUAGAUAAACAAAUCAAGUAUAUUAAAUUUUGGAAUGAUAUAUGAAGUAUAUCAUCAAACAUUAAAAAAUUAAUUGGAUAAUUUUUUACCAUUGAUAAAAUUUAUUUAUAAUAAUAUGAUAUUUUUUUAUAUAAUAAUUUUUUAAUUAGGAUUAUUUUCUACAACUUGAUACUUUUGACUUUUCAAAAGUUGAUAAUUAUGGAGCAAAAGAUUUGACAAUUUGUUUAUCUAUACUAUAUAUAAUAUUAAAGGUAUAAUUAAAAGAAACUCAAGAAUGAUAAAAGAUCAUUGUAGAUGCCUAUUACAUGAAUCAACUUCAAUUCCAUGUUGGUGAUAAGGUAUAAUUACUUCGUUACAAUAUCAAGAUUAGUCACUUUUUUGACAAGUUAGAUUAUCAUAGGCUUGAAUCAUUUUUUAUUUGUGAGCAAAGCAAUUGAGUUGUUUAUUGAUUACAUCUACCAAAUUCUAUGAAGAUCCAUCUUAUAUUCUACAUAUAUCUUGUUGAAUUAUAUAAGAGAAUAAAUAUCUUAAGAAGAAGAUAAAUACUACUUCUUUUUAUAGAAGUAGAUAAUAAAUAAGAAUUUGAAAUAGAAGAAGAUUUAGACGUAAGGUGGUACUAAAAUAGAUUAAAAUAUCUUAUUUAUUGGCCUAGAUAUGAUAUUAAUGAAUUCACAUGGAAAUUAAUUAAGAAUCUUUCAAAUACAAGAAAGAAAAUUGAUGCUUUUUAUCAAUGAUAUCUAUCAAAACUAAGAUGAAGAAUAUCAAAUCUUUGCUAUAAAAAAAAUGUGAUUUAAAAAAGAUUAUAUUUUAUUUUUUUAUCUUUGUUUAUAAUUUUUUUGUAUAUGUAUUGCUAAGGAGAUGGUAUCUAACAACUUGCAAAUUCAACUCAAGAGCUAUCAUUUACUAACUUAUUAUGACCUUGAGAGAGACUCUUGAUGUUUAGUGAUUGUAUUACAAGUAAGAAUAAUUUCUGAUGGUCUUAUAAAUGUUUUUAUUGAAGGAAGUUAUGAAGGCCUCAACAACAGCCAAAUAAUAAGGUGAUCUUUUUAAUCUAGAAUAAAAUAUUAUCAAUGAUUAAAAGGACCUAUUAACUAUCUUCAUAGGAAAUAAAAAUUAGAGUAUAUAGCAAACAUAAUUUGUUGCAUCUUGGACUUCCUCAACUUAUGUUGAUUGUUCUUCAUAGAACUUGUACUUAGAACGAAGGAUAAUGUCAUAGACAUAUAUAUUUACCUUGAUAAAAAGUACUAGGUAGAAAAUAAAUAUAAAUAGAUUUGAUAUUAUCUUGUGGCAAAGCAUUUUAGAAGCUUUAUAGAUGCAUAUUUGACUUUAUACAUGUUUAUAGUUGAUUGGUAGGUGAGAAACUUGGCCAACAAAUUAGCCAUGUGUUACAUGUAGGUAGCUUGUAAUAUAAGCUAACAAUGUGGAGUGCAUAUAAGAAACUUGCCUUACAAAUUAAAACAUGUGUUUUGUAAAUUGGAUACAUGUUAGUAGUCUUAUAUGAUAUUGAUACAUAGCUUUUAAUUAGAUAGUAUAUAUGGAAGUAAGAGUGAAGCCUUCUUGACUCUUAUCAAUGCCUUUUUAGUCCUUAGUCUUAUUUGAAGACUUUCUAGUCUUCUUUUCUUGGACACGAGCCAUUUUAGUUCAAUAUAUUACUAUCUUUGAGUGAUUUUCUAGUCUUUUUGAGUGAUAUAAGAAUAUAUUGAAAUUUUUUUUUUUUUUUGUGAUUCAUAUUCUUAUUAAUUAAUACUUAUAAUGUAUUAAUUUAAUCUACCACCAAAUGAGACAAUAAGAUUUGGAGGAAGUAAAGAUAUAGAAAUAAUUGAAGCUGCUUCAUCAUUUAUAUCAAAUCAUGUUAUUUUUCCUAAGGUGGAACAUUGUUUAAACUUUAGAGAAUUAAGAGUUGCCUUGUCUAGGAAGUUUGGUGAAAUAAGAUGAAAAUUUUGACGAUUCAUCAAUAAAGUAUCACUAGUUAUUAAACUUCAACUUCAAAGCUAUUUAAUUCUAUGAUAUGCAAAUUGAUACAAUAUAUUUUAAACUUAUUACUAUAUAAGAAAAGACUUGCCAUUGUCAAGAAGAAUUUUUCUUGUAUUAUAGAGAACCUAAGUAAUCUACUUAAUAUUAUCUAAACAAAAAAAAUACAAUCACAAAAUUAAGAGUAUGGCUAUUAAAAAAGACCACAUAUUAGAAAACAAGUUUGUGUAGCUAUAAUAAUAACCAUUGUCAUAUUAUGUGAAGCUUUGUUUGAGAAUGCAUCAAGUACUUAGUUGUGGAUGAUGAAUUGGAAAGUGCAACAAUAAGGUCCUAACAAUUCUAAUUUAUUCCUAAAUAAAUUCUAAUUAAAGCUUCAUAAAUCUAAUCAAAUCCUAAUCAAAUCCUAAUCAAAUCUAAAAGAGGUUUUUAUAAGAUUAUAAAGAAACAUUAGGAAAUCCUAAAUAAUAAUUUAAAAUAAAAAAUAAAAAAUAAAAAUAUAAAAAUCCUUUAAAAAUAUUAAUAAUAAAAAAAUAUGUAAAUUCUAAAAAAAUCCUUAAGUGAUUCUAAUCAAAUCCUAAAUAUAUCUAAUUUAAUCCUAAUAUAAUCUUAAAUAAAUCCUAUUAAAGUUCUAAAUAAAUUAUAAUCAAAUCUUAAUAAAAUCUUAAUUAAAUUUUAAUUAAAAUUUCUUAAUAAAUCCUAAUCAAUUUUUAAUCACAUCUUAAAUACUAAACAAAUCCUUAAUCAAUCUUAUAACAGAUUAAAAUUUUAAUAACUAAUAAUUUAAAUAUAUAUUUUAACUCAAAAAUUAUACAUCUCAAAAUUAUUUAGUUUACAAUAAAAAAAAGAUGAAGAAGAUUAAACUUAUCAAAUAGAAGACAAAUGCAAUAAUCUGCUUAGAUGUCAGUCAGUGUCAUUUUCCAACUUUAAUGCUAAUUUCUUAUUGCCAAUAUCUCUUGAUUUCACUAUCCAAUGGUUUUCAAACUUCACACAAUUUUUGAAAAUGAAGUCUAAUAAAAAUAUUAUUCCAAUCUAGAAAAUAUUAUAUUGCAAAAUUUUAGAGGCCCUUUCUAGUCCUCUAAAUUCUAAUUCUUAAUAUUCUAAUAUUUUAAAUUUUAAUUAUCUUCAAAUAAAUUAUUUGAUCAACGUCAAACUUACAACUCAUUUAAGUCAACUACGAUCAUACAAUCACAAUAUUUCACUUGUAGAUCAUCUACCAAUUUUACAAAAUUUUCCAAAGUAUAAUCUCUUUAUAUUUUUAAAAAAUCCAAAGUCAUUCUAAAACAACUUUAUCUUUACAAAGUUUUUUGUGAAUCAUCGAAUUGACUCACAUGGAUAUUUAUUGUAAAAAAUACACUUAUUAUGCUUAAAAAUAUAGAUUUUGUGAAUUAAUAGUAGAAUUUUUAGAAAAAAAUAGAAAAUAGAUUAUUCAUAGCACAUAUGCAGCCUAAGAUAGAAUUUAUUAAGACAAAAUUCCAUGAUGAAUAGGUUUUUUUGUAAUUAACAUUAGAUGAUGGCUAAUGGAAAUAGCCCUCAUUUUUAAAUAUAUAUAUAUAUAUAUAUAUAUAUAUAUAUAUAUAAUAUAAAAUAAAAAUAUCAAAAGAAUAGAAAAAAAUAGAGAAUAGAAGAAAAGAGGGAAAAAAAUAGAAGAAUAAAAAAAAGAUAGAAGAAAAGAAAAAAAUAAAUAAAUAAAAAGAAAAGAAGAAAUAAAAUAAAAUAAAAUAAAAUAAAUUUAAAAUAAAUUUAAAAGGUGAUUGAGAAGGCAAGAGGCUAUCCUUGAAUGGUGGCAGUCUCUUUGUCGAUAGGGUCCGACCGCCGGAUCCUUCACUCUCUUAUUUUUUUGGUUUUUUUUGUGCAAAGAGAAGCUCAACAUCAAUCGUGAUUGUGGUCGUGAAUCUCUAUCUCUUCUUUUAUAGUCCAAGCAGCUCAUAGGUCAAGUUUUUUAUUGUAGCAUCAAGGAUUGUAUAGCGAUGGAUUGUGCCUUGUUGAGCAAAGCUGCAUUUGAAAAAUAGAAGCAAUAGUACUAAACUUUGGACUCUGUCAGUUAUAAGCUCUAUUGAUUGUUUUCUUUUGUGUAUGUGAUUGAACUCGUCUCCAACAAAGGCAGCUAAAAGUGGAUCAUUUUUUUGUUUCAUGUUCAAGUACAUUUGUAUUUUUAAUAAUUUGUGUCUUUAAUAGAAGCUUUGAAGGUGGAGUAGCUAUUGCAUGUGGUGGUGUACUAGUGGUGGGCUGCUAGUGGUAUUUUCUCUCAUUGACGACUAUGUAGUAGAAGCGUUGAAUCUGGUUUUUAUGAACUCUAGGCACUCUAGAUCGGUUUGUUUGUAUUCUUGAGUGAUAUGCUAUAAUGUGUGCUCUCUUGCAAAAAUGGUGUUAUUUGCUAUGGUGCAUGAGUGGAUUGAAAGAAGGUUGCUCUUGCAUGGUGUGUGAGGGAUCACCUAGCACAAUUCUUCAUUUUUUAAGAUGUCUUCUUUGAGCUUGCUUGAGCAAUCAUUGGUGGAAUUAUUGUCAAUGUCUAGAAUAAGUACGGCAAUGUAAUAGCAACAAAAAUGUAUGGCCAAGAGCUCCAAAAAUUAGAAAGAUCUAAAAGGUUGUUGUUGUUGAUGGUGUUAUGUUGUAAUACAACUAUAUGGUGAAAAUAUAUAAAAAAUUAUGAUAAUAAUAAUAAUUAAUAUCUAAUCAUCUUAGUUCAAUAAUAAUUCAAGAUUUUAAACAUAGUUUUCAUAAAAUCUUCUUAGUUUAUUUUCUUAUCUUAAUAGCUAAUAGACUAAAAGUUGGUUAGUUGUCUUUACCUUCUGGGCUAUAGAAACUCUUUUAUUGCUUUAAAAAGGCCAUAAAUUAAUACAAUCAGAUUAAAAAAAGAUAAAUAAUUAGCAUGAUUGAUACUAAGAUUAAGUUAAGGAUAGGAUUGGCUUAAAAAAUUCCUAGGAUAAGUUAGAUUCAUAUCUAAAGAUCGACUAUUUGUGGGACAUGGUCAAAAUCAGACCUCUAGCUACAAAAACAAUUGCCUAUGGCAAAAUAGAGGAGCAUUUGAAGAUUGGCAAUUAAAAUUUUAGAGCUAGCUUCAAGUUAAUUUUAAAGGGUUUGGAAUGACUUUGUAAUUAUUAUUCAAAAUUGGGGUUUGUAUUAGUGAUUUGGAAAUUAUGCAAUUUAAUUAGGGCUAGUACUCUAAGCUAGUUUGUGCAAUUGGUGCCACAUUUAUAAUUCAAAAUUUGGUAAUAUUUAGUGGAUUGGGUGUGCUAAGUUUAUAUUAAAUUUUGUUUUAAUCUAAGGAUGUAAUUGAGAGAUAUCUAGGUUUUAAUACAAGAGAGUAUUAAAAGUUGGCAAUUUGAGAUUUAGUAGGGUUUCUAUAAUAUUUGAAGAUCUACAAACUGAAUCAAGAUGAAAUUUAGCAUAGUAAUAAAACACAUUAAUAUCAAGCUAUAUGCCAAUUUUGAGUUGAAGUUAAUAAUUAAAAAAGGAGAGAUUACUAUUGGAACAUUUGCAUCAAACUUCAAGUUGGCGGCCAAGUAACAUUAGUGCAAUUUUUGGGCUUUUUCUCACGAUCUGUACGUUGGAUUGAAUUAAAAAAAAAUUAGAGUAUAUAAAAAGCUUAUAGUGGCAUUUGUAUGCAAAAUUUUGUACUAAAAAAUGAUCAAAUUAGGAAUUAUAACUCACCAAAGCUCAUUGACUAAGAUUAGGGCUUGUAAGGAGAAAUCAAAAUUGCCUAAUUUUGAAAGUAACAAGGUAAUUGGGAUUUGUGUAUAGUUGAGGUUACUAAGAAGAAUAUUUUUGAGCACUUUAUACUAGGUUUAGGCACUUUUAAAUUAAAAUUUGAAUUCCAUUCUUCUUAUAUGGAUGAAAUCUACUAAGGUUUCUUGGAUAUUUGUAAAGCUCAACUUCACCUUCUAUAGCCAAGUGCCUAAUGCAUUCUCAAAUAAAAAAAUAUGUAUUACAACAACGUGAUCUAAAAUUAAUUCAUUUGUUAUGAUCUAGAAUAAACUUCCAAUUAAUAGAGGUUUAUUUUAGCUCACAUCUUCACAAGGUCAUUAAAAACUUAAAUUAUUCAAAAUUAACACUUAAAUAUUUUUGUUCUACUUUCCUCUCAAAUUAUACUCUUUGAUUUGCAACAUAAUUCCAAAAUUGCCAUAGGUGCGCAAUUUUGAAUCUUAAGGUCUAAUCUCAACUUUGGUUUACAACCGGUCCUCUCUGAGUAUCAAUUCUUUAUUUCUUAAGGUAAUUUUUGCUACAAACUACUCUUAAUUUUUUUCUAAGAAUAUAAAACUAAAAUUAUAAAAAAAAUUAUAUAAAAAAAACAUGGAAGAUAAAUUCAAAAAAUAUAAAAUAGAAUAAAUAUAAAAAUAUUAUAAAUAAUUUAAAUAAGAAAAUACAAAGAAUUAGUUCAAAUGGCAAUAUUAAUGAAAUUAAUAAUAUAUGUAUAUAUAUUGCACUAUUAUUCUUAUAUUAGUUAUAAAGUGUGUGAACUAUUUAACAAUAUCAUUUUAAACAUUACUAUAGGUAUGUAUCAAACAUAACAACAUUAACAAACUAGCAAAUUGAUAUCCAACAAAGAAAAGAAAAAAUGAUCUAAAAAUAUUUUUAUAGAAUUACAAUUAAUCUUAAAAAUCCAACAACCUUACCAUUAAAUAAACAUUUCAACCUUAUCACAAACUCAAUAUCCCAAAACAUCAAUAACCAACUUAAAAUGACCAACUAUACCCAUAUACUCAUCAUACCACUACACUCUGGCUAUUGCAAUUCAUUAACCAACAUCACAACCCCUAAACAUUAUUUAUGUAUUACUAUUAUUUAUUUAUUUAUUUAUUUAUUUAGGUAACUUUAUAAUUUAAUUGUAAUCAAACACAUUACCAAUCCUUCCUCACUAAAAGAACAAUGGUUUCUUUGAACCUAACAGCAAGAAAGAUUAACUCACCCCUAAAUAUAACAAGGGACUCAGGACAACUAAGGGCAGUUAUUUGCUAUAUAAAUUUAUAUAUCCGCAAGGCCAAGGUGGCCGUCAAACCUCAGGAUUGGGUCGAUGAGGGGGCGGAGUCGAUGAGGCCAGGGUGUCACGGCGUCAAGGCGAUGGAGGAUACGGAGCUGGAGGAAGUAGGAGUCGCGGUGGUGGUAGUGUUAAUUCUACCUCCUCGUCCUCGUCUACUUCUUAGUCAGUCCUCCUCGUCGUCUUCUUCUUCCUAGUCUUCCUCGUCGUCUUCUUCUUCCUAGUCUUCCUCGUCGUCCUCCAAGUGUGCGAGCCAGGUUGAUGGAAUCGAUGCCUGACGCGGCCCCAUCUGGGAUCGCACCGGGUAGGAAGGAAUCCGUUACAUAAGCGGGGCGACAUCGUUGGCUAAAGUCCCGAGGCUGCGCUCUGGGUUCUGCUGUCAGAGAGGAUGCAUUAUUGGAGCCUAUCUUUAUGUCGCGCGCACCCCACCUGCCACAGCAUCAGCAUCAUCAUCAUCCCCGCCUUCAAGCACCCAUUAUCCUCUUCUCACCCCCCCCCCCUUUGCCCCUUGCACGAAUCGCUGUCAGAGGGCCCCUCCCGCAGAUUUGGCCGCUUUCUGCAACAAAAAACACUGCCCGUCGUUGGAUUUCCUGACAAGCGCAGACCCCCUGAGCGAGCUAUUUCACCACUUGGCAGCCUUACUUGAGACUUCAGAUUUUUCCUCCCUGGUCUUGGUAGUC